rnacentral:lncRNA from 1 species
UGUAAUGGUUUUUGACACACUUAAUUAUAUAUAAUGCACGCAGAUGAAUCGGCAAUGGAUGUACAGUGACAGACACACCUCCGAGUACAUUAAGGGCGUGCAUGAUUUUCUCAAAGUGGCUGAGGCAAACAAGCAGAAUGGUUUUAUGUGUUGUCCAUGCCCUAAAUGUGGGAAUACGAAGUCUUACUCUGACCAGAAAAUCCUUCACACCCACCUGCUUUACAAGGGUUUCAUGCCACACUAUAAUGUUUGGAUGAGGCACGGAGAAAUAGGGGUUAUGAUGGAAGACGGCGAAGAAGAAGAGGACGAUGACAACUAUGUGGCCCCUGAAUACUAUGAUGCUGCAACGGGGGAAGCUGCAGAAGAUCAAGAGGAACCAGACGAUGUGCCCAAUGAUGAUGCAACGGGGGAAGCUGUUGAAGAUCAAGAGGAACCAGUGCCCGAUGAUGAUGAUCUCCGCCGGGUCAUUGUUGAUGCAAGGAUGCAAUGCGAAAGUCAAAAGGAGAAGCUGAAGUUCGAUCGCAUGUUAGAGGAUCACAAAAAAGGGUUGUACCCCAAUUGCGAAGAUGGCAACACAAAGCUCGGUACCGUACUGGAAUUGCUGCAGUGGAAGGCAGAGAAUGCUGUGCCUGACAAAGGAUUUGAGAAGCUAUUGAAAAUAUUGAAGAAGAAGCUUCCAAAGGAUAACGAAUUGCCCGACAGUACAUACGCAGCAAAGAAGGUCGUAUGCCCUCUAGGAUUGGAGGUGCAGAAGAUACAUGCAUGCCCUAAUGACUGCAUCCUCUACCGCGGUGCGUACAAGGAUCUGAACGCAUGCCCGGUAUGCGGUGCAUUGCGGUAUAAGAUCAGACGAGAUGACCCUGGUGAUGUUGACGGCGAGCCCCCUAGGAAGAGGGUUCCUGCGAAGGUGAUGUGGUAUGCUCCUAUAAUACCACGGUUGAAACGUCUGUUCAGAAACGAAGAGCAUGCCAAGUUGAUGCGAUGGCACAGUGAGGACCGUAAGAAAGACGGGAAGUUGAGAGCACCUGCUGACGGGUCGCAGUGGAGAAAAAUCGAGAGAAAGUACUGGGCUGACUUUGCAGGUGACCCAAGGAACGCAUGGUUUGGUUUAAGCACGGAUGGCAUUAAUCCUUUCGGGGAGCAUAGCAGCAAUCACAGCACCUGGCCCGUGACUCUAUGUAUGUAUAACCUUCCUCCUUGGAUGUGCAUGAAGCGGAAGUUCAUUAUGAUGCCAGUUCUCAUCCAAGGCCCUAAGCAACCCGGCAACGACAUUGAUGUGUACCUAAGGCCAUUAGUUGAAGAACUUUUACAGCUGUGGAAUGGAAGCGGUGUACGUACAUGGGAUGAGCACAAACAGGAGGAAUUUAACCUGCACGCGUUGCUGUUUGUAACCAUCAACGAUUGGCCCGCUCUCAGUAACCUUUCAGGACAGACAAACAAGGGAUACCACGCAUGCACGCACUGUUUAGAUGACACUGAAAGUAUAUACCUGGACAAAUGCAGGAAGAAUGUGUACCUGGGCCAUCGUCGAUUUCUUCCGACCAACCAUCAAUGUCAAAAGAAAGGCAAGCAUUUCAAAGGUGAGGCAGAUCACCGGAAGAAGCCCGCCAUGCGUACCGGUGAUCACGUACUUGCUAUUGUCAAUGAUUUACACGUAAUCUUUGGAAAGGGUCACGGCGGACUAGCUAUUCCGAAUGACGCUGAGGGACACGCACCCAUGUGGAAGCAGAAAUCUAUAUUUUGGGACCUACCCUACUGGAAAGACCUAGAGGUCCGCUCUUCAAUUAACGUGAUGCACGUGACGAAGAACCUUUGCGUGAACCUGCUAGGCUUCUUGGGCGUGUAUGGGAAGACAAAAGAUAUACCUGAGGCACGGGAGGACCUGCAACGUUUGCAUGAAAAAGACGGCAUGCCUCCGAAGCAGUAUGAAGGUCCUGCCAGCUACGCUCUUACGAAAGAAGAGAAAGAAAUCUUCUUUGAAUGCCUGCUCAGUAUGAAGGUCCCGACUGGCUUCUCGUCGAAUAUAAAGGGAAUAAUAAAUAUGCCAGAUAAAAAGUUCCAGAACCUAAAGUCUCAUGACUGCCACGUGAUUAUGAUGCAACUGCUUCCGGUUGCAUCGAGGGGGCUUCUACUGGAAAACGUCCGAUUAGCCAUUGUGAAGCUAUGUGCAUUCCUCAAUGCAAUCUCUCAGAAGGUGAUCGAUCCAGAAAUCAUACCAAGGCUAAGGAGUGAUGUGGCGCAAUGUCUUGUCAGUUUCGAGCUGGUGUUCCCACCAUCCUUCUUCAAUAUCAUGACGCACGUCCUAGUUCAUCUAGUCGACGAGAUUGUCAUUCUGGGGCCCGUAUUUCUACACAAUAUGUUCCCCUUUGAGAGGUUCAUGGGAGUCCUAAAGAAAUAUGUCCGUAACCGCGCUAGGCCAGAAGGAAGCAUCUCCAUGGGCCAUCAAACAGAGCAUGUCAUUGGGUUUUGUGCUGACUUCAUUCCUGGCAUUAAGAAGAUAGGUCUCCCUAAAUCGCGGUAUGAGGGGAGACUGACUGGAAAAGGAACGCUAGGAGCAGACUCAAUAAUAUGCAGGGACGGGCAUUCUUGGUCUCAAGCACACUACACAGUUCUACAGAACUCUACCUUGGUGACCCCGUAUGUCGAUGAACACAAGAACAGUCUGCGCUCCAAACACCCGGAGCAGUGCGACGAUUGGAUUACAUGUGAACACAUCAGGACUUUCAGCAGUUGGUUGGAAACACGUCUCAGAGGUGACAACACUGUUUGUGAUGAGCUAUACUCGUUGUCCAGGGGACCAUCUUUGACUGUAUUGACUUACAAAGGAUACGAGAUAAAUGGGAAUACAUUUUACACGAUCGCCCAAGAUCAAAAGAGCACCAACCAAAACAGCGGUGUCCGCUUUGAUGCAGCAACCGAGAGGGGAAAGGACACAUAUUAUGGUUACAUAGUGGACAUAUGGGAACUUGACUACGGACAUGAUUUUAAGGUCCCUUUGUUUAAGUGCAAAUGGGUCAAUCUGUCAGGAGGCGGGGUACAGUUAGACCCAUAGUACGGAAUGACAACAGUGGAUCUGAAAAAUCUUGGGUACACUGACGAACCGUUCGUCCUAGCCAAUGAUGUGGCACAGGUUAUCUAUGUGAAGGACAUGUCUACCAAACCGAGAAAAAGAAAAGAUAAGGAAGCGAAUACAUCAUACGAUGAGUCAAAGCGCCACAUAGUUCUUUCAGGAAAAAGGGACAUCGUGGGAGUGGAGGGCAAGACAGACAUGUCUGAAGAUUAUGAAAAGUUUCAUGAAAUUCCUUCCUUCAAAGUCAAGGCUGACCCAAGCAUCCUGAAAAACGAUGAAGAUUAUCCAUGGUUACGGCGCAAUAAGCAAAUGACACAAGCGAAGAAAAAGUGAAGACUUUCUCCCGCAACUAUUAUGAUGAUACCAUGCCAACUUUGUAAUAGACGAGUAUGAUACCAUUGUCCGUUUUGUACACGAAGUGCAUCCAGUUUUUGCCGUAACCCUCUCAACUUUCUUGCACAUGCUAUGUGGAUGAAAUGAUGAUACCAUGCCAACUUUCAACCUUUUCAGAGUUCAUUUGAAAUGCUUUUCAAUUUAGGGUCUUAUAGCUCAAAAUAAUCAGUAAAUGUAUGAAAAAUGGUGCAUGAAAAUAACAAAUAAAUAAAUAAGUAAUUAGAAACAAAAUAAUAUAAACUUUAAUAAAAUAUAUAAGUAGAAACAAAAUAAAAUAGACUUUAAUAACAUAAAUAAAAUUUAUGAAACUAAAAUUAUCAAAGUAUUUUCUGUUCAAAACAUUAUAAGCAACCUCUAGUAUUAUUGAAUCUAAAAUUAUAUAAAAUUGAUCCAACUAAAAUUAUCGAAGUAUUUUCUGUUCAAAAUCAUUGAAAGCAAAAAGAAUUUUCACAAAGAACUUUUUUGUUAGAAACUUUAAUAGCAAAAAGAAUUAUCAUAAAGUAAAAUAAAUAAGUAAUUAGAAACAAAAUAAAAUAAAAUAAAUAAGUUUUUUGUUGUAAGUAGAAACAAAAAAUAAAGCAAAAAAGAAAACAAAAAACAGGCAAAAAAUAAAAAAAUAUGCCACCUACUGGGCCACCACGGCCUGAAUAUGACUAGAAACCCAUCGAUGGGCCAGGAUUCAGGCCCACAGAAGGCCCAGUAGGCCCAUCAGGCAUAGCAGUGACAAUUAGGCCCGUAAGCCUGCAAUGGAGAGGAGCUCGAGACGGGAGCGGCAGUGGGGCUUAUAAACCACUGCGCGCCCCUCUCAACUAGCGAGGUGGGACUAAACUUUCGACGCGGGCGCAGCAGCACAAGGCCUUUGGUCCCGGUUGGUGGUACCAACCGAUACUAAAGGGGGGGCAAUGGUACCGGUUAGGUACCAGUUCGUGGCACUAACCGGCACCAAUGCCCCCCCUUUAGUCCCGGUUGGUGCCACCAACCGGGACCAAAGGCCGCCGCUUCCCACCCUUUGGGCUGCUGAAAAGAGGCCUUUGGUCCCGGUUGGUGACACCAACCGGGACUAAAGGUGGCAUUGGUACCGGUUUGUGCCANNNNNNNNNNNNNNNNNNNNNNNNNNNNNNNNNNNNNNNNNNNNNNNNNNNNNNNNNNNNNNNNNNNNNNNNNNNNNNNNNNNNNNNNNNNNNNNNNNNNNNNNNNNNNNNNNNNNNNNNNNNNNNNNNNNNNNNNNNNNNNNNNNNNNNNNNNNNNNNNNNNNNNNNNNNNNNNNNNNNNNNNNNNNNNNNNNNNNNNNNNNNNNNNNNNNNNNNNNNNNNNNNNNNNNNNNNNNNNNNNNNNNNNNNNNNNNNNNNNNNNNNNNNNNNNNNNNNNNNNNNNNNNNNNNNNNNNNNNNNNNNNNNNNNNNNNNNNNNNNNNNNNNNNNNNNNNNNNNNNNNNNNNNNNNNNNNNNNNNNNNNNNNNNNNNNNNNNNNNNNNNNNNNNNNNNNNNNNNNNNNNNNNNNNNNNNNNNNNNNNNNNNNNNNNNNNNNNNNNNNNNNNNNNNNNNNNNNNNNNNNNNNNNNNNNNNNNNNNNNNNNNNNNNNNNNNNNNNNNNNNNNNNNNNNNNNNNNNNNNNNNNNNNNNNNNNNNNNNNNNNNNNNNNNNNNNNNNNNNNNNNNNNNNNNNNNNNNNNNNNNNNNNNNNNNNNNNNNNNNNNNNNNNNNNNNNNNNNNNNNNNNNNNNNNNNNNNNNNNNNNNNNNNNNNNNNNNNNNNNNNNNNNNNNNNNNNNNNNNNNNNNNNNNNNNNNNNNNNNNNNNNNNNNNNNNNNNNNNNNNNNNNNNNNNNNNNNNNNNNNNNNNNNNNNNNNNNNNNNNNNNNNNNNNNNNNNNGCCGUGCUAUUUUUUUACAUGUUUUUAGACUUUCAUAUAUGUAUGUAUGUAUUUUUUAGAUAUAUGUAUUUUUUUGAUGUAUGUUCAUAUAUGUAUGUAUGUAUUUUUUACAUGUUUUUUGUAUGUAUGUAUGUAUUUUUUCAAUUGUAAUGAUGUUUUAAAAAUACAUAUAUGCAAAAGUUAGAUUUUUGGAAAAGUUUUAUCUAUAUAUGUUCUCUGAUUUAGUACAUUUUAGCUUACUUUCAUUUUUAGAAAAGUUUUAUAUAUUUAGGAAGAAGGAAUAGAAGGAAGAAGAAGUAAGAAGAAAAAGUUUUAUAUAUGCAAAAGUUACAUUUUUAGAAAAGUUUUAUAUAUCUAGCUAGGAAAGGAAGAAGAAGAAGAAGAAGAAAAAGAAUGAGAGGAAAAAGGAAAAUAAGAAGAAGAAGAAAGGAGAAGAAGAGGAGAGGAAGAAGAUGAGAAAUAAAUAAGAAGAAGAAAAAAGAAGAAAAAGAAGAGGAGAAGAAGAAAGGAAUAGAGGAGAAGACUCUAUUCCUUUCUUAUUCUAUUUUCUCUUCUUCUCCUCUAUUCCUUUCUUCUUCUCCUCUUUUUUUUCUUCAAUCUUCUCCUCUAUUAAUAUCUUCUUCUCCUCUUUUUAUUUCUUCUUCGUCUUCUUAUUUUUUUAUCGGAUAUGUCGUUGUCGAUAUACCCCGUGUCCCGAUAACUUCAACACAAGGGGGGGUUCGACCUACCCCCUCCCCGAUAACAUUAUUUUCCCAUGUAUGUAUGUCGUCGUUGUCGAUAUAACCCCCUCCCGAAUAACUUCGACCGUGAUAACUUAUACCACGGGAGCACCCCCCGGCCCUCUCGCUCGACCAAAACUCUCGAGGACACCCAAACCCUAGAAAAAAACGAUGUCGGUCUCCUACCCCCUCCCGCCGCACCCCUACCCUUGAAGCGUUGCCGAGGCCACCCCAAACCCGGAAUAAGCUAGGUCUACGUUUGCACUAAUAUAUCCACCUGCUGUCAUGUUUGUGUAAUAAUUGCCAUGUUGUAAUAUUUGCAGAAACAAUGGAGCACGGACGAGACGAGGAAGCAGAAGAGGUGUUGGGGGACAUAAUCUUAGCCGGAGGUGAUGUCUUGUCAUAUCUUAACGACAAUGAUGGUCUGGAAGAACAGGGUGAAGAAGCAGGCUACGGUGAUCGAAGAGUGGAGGAGGAAAGACAUGAUUAUGAUGGCUCCGGUGACCCAAUGCUGGUGCAAGAAGGAGCCCGUGGUGACGGCUCCGGUGACCGAACAGAGUCCGGCCAGGUAAAUAUAUUAGUUAAGCCUGUGCUGACUAGCUAAUUGAUGCAUUCAUUGUUUUGGUAUGUACACAUAUUAAUUAACUCUCGUCUUUUUUCGUUUUUCUAGCCCUCCGGAUCGAGCACAACUUUGGUAAAGACACGAGGCCCGAAGAGAAAGUUGCGCUCGGAUGAAAGGUUUGAGAUCACAGCAAUCGCGCGCGACGGCCAACCGAUUGAACCCAUCCGGACAAAGGAAGCACUUGCUGCUCAGUGCGGGGUUCUUGUUAGGGACAAGAUCCCGAUUAGCAUCCACCAAUGGUAUGAGCCUAAGAAGGAAGACCCUGAGGUGUCUUAUGUCAAUGAUAUGCAGAAAGAUGAUCUUUGGACUGAGCUGAAGGCAAAUUUCACCCUACCGCCAGAGGAGGAUCCGGAGAAGCCAGUUAAAGAGCAAUUAAUCAAGUCUCAUGCUCUUAAGAAGAUGGCAGACCUAUUCAGGAGGUGGAAGAAUUAGCUGAAAACGUUUGUCGACAAAGAAGAGACACCAGAAUUCAUCAGCAAAUAUGAGAAGAUCAGAGAUCACUGGCCCGCAUUUGUGGCCCACAAGACAUCGGAAAAGAGUAAGAAGUUGUCAGUGACAAACAAGAAAAAUGCUGCGAAGAAGAAGCUUCACCAUCGCACGGGGUCAGGUGGCUACCUCAAAGUCCGGCCUAAGUGGGCCAAGGCUGAGAAUGAUCUGCUUGAUAAAGGUAUCGAACCAGAGACAAUGAACUGGCCAGACCGUUGCCGGACUUGGUUCUUCGGGGCUGGCGGAACAUUGGACCCUGUAUGAGGGAAGUGCGUUUGGACGGACGAGCUUUUGAGAAUACUAGUCAAGAGGCUUCAGCACUAUAUCGAUGCAGCGCAGCAAGGGACGUUCGUUCCAGACAGAGAGAACGACGAGCUCACAAUGGCCCUCGGGAAUCCUGAGCACCCUGGACGGACACGAGGCACGCCAGGCUCCGUUCCGUGGAAGGCUGGUUUUCCGGACGCAGGCGGUUACAAAUGCCAGGAGAGGAGGAAAAAAGUGGAGCAGACCCAAAUUCAGAAGCUGCACGAAAGGGUUCAAGCGCUAGAGGAACGAGACGUAGCUCGCAGCAAGCGACCUACCGAAACUACCCCCGAAGCUACCCCGCCAUCUCAGCGGAGAAGCAGCGUCGCUUCCACCGAGCUGCUUCAGCCGGAGCAUGUCUUGACGGCUACUGCUAGCUACCCCGUGGAUGCUAUCAUGGAGUCUCAACAUUGCCACCUUAUGACGCAAUGGCAGAGCUUCAAAGUCAAGGCGGCUGUCGGCUCUGUUCGACCUCCUGAAUCCGGCGCAACUUUUCACUGUCGUCCGAUUCCAGAAGGAUAUGCUAGGGUGACGGUGGACGAAAUAACGGAGGGAUUUGAGGAACUCCAGCUUGACCACCCUACCGGUGAAGGGGAGACUCGGCUGGGUUCUGCUCUGAAGACUCCAUGCCUAUGGCGGAAGGAGCUCAUCAACCUUCCGAACUGGACGCCUCCGCCUCCUCCUCCUCCUCCGGCGAGUAAGGGCACUCCGCCUCCUCCUCCGGCGAGUGAUCAGGGCACUAAGCCUCCUUCUCCGGCGCGUGGUGGCACUCCGCCUCCUCCUCCGCCUCCUCCUCCGGCGAGUGAUCAGGGCACUCAGCCUCCUUCUCCGGCGCGUGGCGGCACUCCGCCUGCGCCGGCGCGCCCAAGCAGCCAGCCUCCUCCUUCACCGCCUCGUCAGCAAGGGCGGAAGAGACCCGCCGCCGAUCCGGCUGCUCCGGCGCGUCGUAGUCCUUCUCCUCCGCCUCGUAAGCAAGGAAAGAAGACAGCCACAGCCGCUCCGUCUGCUCUGCCGGCGUCUAGCAGUACAGCCAGAGGCGGGAGGCAAUACAGAUUCGGUCCUUCUCUGAAGACUCCAGAGAAGUUACCAUACGAGAGGACCGAGGAGGAAACCACGAAGAUCGUGCGAGCCGAAGUGACGAACUUCUUUGAAGGGGUGAAAGCAAAGAAACAUCCACCUCCGGAGGAGAAGGUAGAUCCGGUGAAAGCGAAGCGCACUCUGGCUGCCCUGACAAAACCACCAAAGUCUCCGCCGAAAGGCAACUAUGAGCGCAUUAUUGCAAAGACAUUUGUCGAAGCGGAGCGGUCGGGAAGUACUAUCAGUGAUCAAAGGUUAAAAGAACGACGAGCUGGGAAAAAAUUGCCCAGCUCGGCGAACAAGCGAACCAAUCGUGCCCCCCGCUCAAGGUGUCUAGCGACAUCGUCGCUAAUCAUCCGAGGAUGGUGCCCGGUUAUAGCAAUCUUGGAGAUUACCUGCCCGACGAUGUACAUUAUGAUUUCUUGGAGGUGGACGAACACAAAUACCAUUACGGGAAGCCUCUCGUCAAAGAUGAAAGAUCUCUAACAACGAUGAUGCGAAGAUUACAUGAUUGGUACAUGAAAACCUGCAGAGAGUCUGGGGGGAGGAAUACUUUGACGCUGAGAGUUAAAGAGGAGCAUGACCUCGUUGAAAUUGAAAUGUUGAAUGUUCCAUUUGAGGAGUUCUUCCAAUUUUUCAAUCAAACGGCCCUCGAUAAAUCAACGAUCACUUGCUACUGUCUGUAAGUAGUACUACUUCUGUCAUUAAGUCUCUCUUAUAGGUCAGCUCUUUCAUUGCAUGUAUUUAUAAUUAUCCUCACUAUAUUAUGCAGAUUGAAGAUCGCCGAAUUGAAGAAAAGACAAAUCGGUGGUAUUGGAUUCAUUAACACAAAUCUCAUAGAUGCAACUGAGGUUAAAUAUCAUGCCGAAAAUACCGAGGCCAACUUGCUACGAUCGUUGGCAAUAAAUGAAAACAAAGAUAUAAUACUCUUUCCUUACAACUUCAAGUGAGUGUUACUGUCUUGUGCAUAUUCGGUUUCCCUUAUUAGUCCAGGUUAUAGUAAUGUAAUUGAUGACUUAUGCAUGCGUGCGCAGCUUCCACUAUAUUCUCCUAGGGAUUCAGCUUGAGCAGGGACUAGUAACCGUCUUAGACUCGAGACGAAAAGAUCCCCAGGACUAUGCGGACAUAACUCAAAUGCUCGAGAAGUAAGUUAAAUCGAUCAUUAUCCACCAUAUCAGCAACUUUGUUCAUUUCCUAAUAUCAAGUAAUUGUUUUCUUUGUCUCGCAGGGUUUGGAGAAAAUUCACCAAAAAAGCUCCGGGACUGCCGAACAAGCUGCAAUUUAGACACCCGAAAGUAAGUACUAUAGUAGCAUGUUCCACGCAUCUCCUAGUGAUUCAAGCGCUAGUUUCAUCAAUACCAUUUAGCAUGCUUGCUUAUCAGUUUGAUUGACCUCUAUUUCUUGUAAAGUGGUUGUGGCAGGAACAAGGGAAUGAUUUCUGUCGAUACUACGUUUGCGAGUCCAUCCGCUACAUGACUUGUGAGCGGGGCUACUCUGACGAACAAUAUGAAGUGCGUAAGCAAUAAUAUUCACAAUUUUAUUUUAUUACCAUCAUCUGUCCAGAGCUGCCUGCCGAGUCUUUGGCGUGUCAUCGUUGAGCAACAAUGCAAAGCCAGGAUUUCUAUGUUGGCAGCCAUCAGAGAUGGUCGGAGGAGACGAGGAGUAGCUGCGUGCUGUAGCAAGGCGCAUGUGCAAUGUUUGGGGAGUUUCGAAUAAUGUUCGCACUUUGGGAAUUUGUUCCGAAUUUCAAAAAUAUCCUUAUUUCAAAAAACAAAUCUACACAAAUCUAUAUCUAUAUCUAUAUCUAUACCUUCUAAUAACGCAAGGUGUGUUUCGUCAAUUUUUUCAUCCGUUCACCAUCGAAAAGAAUUUUUUCUAUCCGACAUGGUACUAAAUUUUUAUGUGUUUGUCUGCUACAAAGGGAUUUUUUGUACGUGGGCCACGUGUUGUGCCCAGCGAAGCCAGCCCACUUUUUUUUUCUGCCCACGCAGUUGGGAAAAUUCUAUUUUCCAUACUGAGCGACAAAUAGUCGGAGUUUCGCACAGGACAGCCAACGAUGGGCUGGCCCGUUUUUCUUUUUUCUGUGUUUUACUUCUAUUUUUAUUCUCCUUUCCCUAUCUCUUUUUUCCCUUCGAAGUUUUUUCUUUUAGUAUUUAGUUCGUAAAUAUAAAGUCUCAAAAAACGUUCAGAAUAAAAAAAAUCAAAUUUUGGAAAAUGUUCAGAAUUCCAAAAUUUUGUUGCUAUUUUGAAAAAUAUUCAGAACUUGCAAAAUUUUCCCAUUUUUUCAAAAAGAAUAUUCUUUUUCAAAAAAAAUUUGAGGUUUCUGAAAAGAAAAUGGCUUUUCAAAAAAUUCUCCAAAUUUUAAAAAUAUUUUUGUUUUACUGAAAUUUGAAAAUUAAAAAUAAUAUUCGUGUAUAAAAGAUACAUAUUUUCUAAAAAAACUUUUGAAUUUUCAACACAUAUUGCCAUUUUUAAAAAAUGUUUAAAAAUUCAAAUAAUGUUCAUGCUUUUAUAAAAAAGUUGGUGUUUUCAUAAAAUGUUUGUGAAUUUUAAAAGAUGUUCCCUUUCAUAUUUUGUUUGGGUUUUUCGAAAGUGUACAUAAUUUACAAAAAACUGUUCAGGAUUUAAAACAUUGUUCAUGUUUCCUAGAAUAUUCAGAAACUCCAUACCUUAAAAUCCCCUUGAUUGAAAGGAUUGAAAGGAAGAGUAGAUUGAAUAACUCAUGAGCCUUCUCUGUCGUACGAUGACUUAACAAAACUCUUAAAUGCUCUCGAUCAAAGAAUGGAAAAAUAGUGAAUUGAUUCCUUCACACGUGGCGAAACCGAGAAACUAAAUGUUCAUUUUCAUGUGCACACAAUGUUUUGCUUGCACAUAUAAUUGUCGCUGACUUUAAAUGCAUACUAUUUUAUCUCCCGUUGCAACGCACGGGCAUAUGUGCCAGUAUAGCUAAAGUGAGUUUGCUCUGUGACUUGUGUAAAUCCGAUGAUGUGUUUCUGUUCUAAAACACGAAAUCUUUGUAAAGAUUUGAUGGUACAACUAAUAAUGUAAUUAAAGACAACGUGUGCAUGUUCAAACCAAACAAGCCCUACAACAUUUCAGAACGUAAAUGCAUUUGUUCCAUUGUAAAUACUUGAACUUCCAUGAAAUUUCACACGCGCUUAGAAAACAUGUUCAUCUUUUAUGUACAAAAAAAAUCAGAAUUUUUAUACACAAACCAGUGGGUGCUCGCUCAGAGCCAAAGGAGAAGAGGGGGUUCAUCACUAGCUGCUUUAAGAAUAAGCCCGUGGGUGCCCUAGAUCUAGAGGUGCUGAUCCUGCCCCUACUACCCUCUUUUAGCCGUUGUGGUGGCAGAAUGAGUUAGCGGUAUUGGUACUAACCUCUAAGAAGAAAUAGAAUAAAUAAAUACUUGCACACAACUUUGCACUUUUUUAGUAUGUAUAAGAAAUAAAUACUAUAUAAUAGUGCAAUUUUCACUUGUCGCGAAAUAAAUAGUGCAAUUUUCACACCAAUAUAAUCUGUACACAUGUUAUAUAGUACUUGCGUGUAUACAUUUUAGACUCACCCAACGUCCCGAAAAUACCUCUAAAAACAGAGUAAAAAUAGAAAAGCAAAAAAUAUAUACAGACAGAAGAAUGGGGAGGCGACAGAAGGAAACAUGAAAUGGGCUUCAGCCCAAUAAGGAAUCGACUAACCCACAAUAGUGGUCAUUAAAAAUUACAGCCCAAAGCAUGACAGCAUACAAAACAGGAAAAAAAACAAGGACCCCUAAGAAAAAGGAAAAAAACAAGGAGCGUGAAUCUUGAGACAGAGAUCAGUGGUUCAAAAAUCCACUGGCACAAAUACAUUUUUCAGCUGACUGACAUAUAGCUAAAGUGAGUUUGCUCUGUGACUUUUGUAAAUCCGAUGAUGUGUUUCAAUUAUUAAACACGAAACCAUUGUAAAGAUUUGAUGGUACAACUAAUAAUUGUAAUUAAAGAAAACGAGUGCAUGUUCAACACAAACAAGUCCUACAUCAUUUCAGGAAGUAAAUGCAUUUGUUCCAUAGUAAAUACUUCAACUUCCACGGGAAAACGGCUGGGCCUUUUUAUUUUCGGGUGCGAUCAGUGGCAACUCUCUGUAGUACCAACGACCGGUGGCAUGUAACUUGCAGCCGGCAUCCUUGCGGGGAGGCUCGGCAACGGCGCCUCAAACCGCAGCACGUUGACAGCCUGCCUGAUAGAUGGUCUCAGUUUCAGAUCAAGCCGAGCACACCAUAGCACGACAAUCAUCACACACUCCAUCUCUUGGGCGUCGAAUUCUCCUCGCAGCCGUGUGUCAGCCGCGUCCAGAAUCUUCCCUCUUCCAUACGAAUUCCAGACCCACUGAGACAAGUGCACAGAUCAUCAUCUUCUUCUUCCUCUUGCUGAACCACCACCACAGGCCGUCUGCCGCAGGCGAUCUCAAGGAGGACGACGCCGAAGCUGUAAACAUCUGACUCGGCGUUGGCCCUGCCAGUGGUCAUGCAUUCUGGAUCCAUGUAUCCCAUUGUGUUGGCGAGCGCCGUCGUGAGCGAACCUCGGCCGUGUUCGACGAGCCUGGCGAGACCAAAGUCACCGAGCUUGGCGUUGAAGGAGGAAUCCAGCAUGACGUUGCUUGGCUUGAUGUCCCUGUGCAGGAUGCACUGCUCCCACUCCUGGUGUAGGUAGAGAAGCGCGGAUCCAUACCCGAGCACGAUCUCAUGCCUGAAGAUAGAAAAACAUAUACAACUUUAAUCAUCACAUGAGGGCUAAUGAAGCAAUGGGAGAGUGCUAUGUAUGCAAUGUUCAUGCAUGCAUGGUGCUUCUUCUCUAGUGGGCGUACCUAACCGACCAUGGAAGCAUGCCGUUAUUCACAGCGUAGAGAUGUCUGUCGAGGCUACCAUUGGACAUCAACUCGUAGACGAGGAGCAGCUCGCGGCCUCCAUGGCACCAUCCAAUGAGCUGCACGAGAUUCUUGUGGCGAAGCUGGCUUAUGACCCUCACCUCAGAGGCAUACUCCUUCCUCUUCAAACUAAGGGAACUACUUAUCUCUACUUUGCUGCAUCACCAUUUCCUCUUCAAGGGAAAAACCAACGCAAGCUCGAGAAGUAGCAGGAAAAAAUUUUGGCGCUGUUGCCGGGGAGGUUCUACAUCAAGCCUACCAAGUACCCACCAUAAACUCUCAUCUCUUGCAUUGCAUUAUUUUCCAUUUGCCUCUCGUUUUCCUCUCCCCCACUUCUAAAACGUUUUCAAAAAAACACAAAAGGAUUUGCCUUUUUAUCCGCCCUUCUUCUGUUGUCUUUUCAUUUGAUUUUUGGUUGUUCGUGUGCUAGAUUGCUUGCUUUGUCAUGAUGUCUCAAGAAAAUACCAAGUUGUGUGACUUUUCUAACACUAAUAAUAAUGAUUUUAUUAGUACUUCGAUUGCUCCUGCCACUAGUGCGGAAUCUUAUAAAAUUAAUGCUGCUUUGCUGAAUCUUGUUAUGAAAAAUCAAUUUUAUGGCCUUCCUAGUGAAGAUGUCGCAUCCCAUCUAAAUACUUUCGUUGAGUUGUGUGAUAUGAAAAGGAAAAAAGGAUGUGGAUAAUGAUAUUGUUAAAUUAAACUUAUUUCCGUUCUCGCUACGAGAUCGUGCUAAAACUUGGUUUUCAUCUUUGCCUAAAAAUAGUAUUGAUUCAUGUAAUAAGUGUAAAGAUGCUUUUAUUUCUAAGUAUUUUCCUCCCGCUAAGAUCAUCUCCAUUAGGAACUAUAUAAUGAAUUUUAAGCAACUUGAUCAUGAACAUGUUGCACAAUCUUGGGAGAGGAUGAAAUUGAUGAUAAGAAAUUGCCCUACUCAUGGUUUAAGUUUAUGGAUGAUCAUUCAAAAAAAUUAUGCCGGAUUGACUUUUGCAUCUAGAAAUCUUUUAGAUUCCACCGCGCGAGGCACUUUUAUGGAAAUUACAUUAGGAGAAUCUACUAAACUCCUAGAUAAUAUUAUGGCUGCAUACCGGAAGAUUUUCUACUAGUAAAAAAGUGCAUGCGAUUGAAUAAAUUAAUACUUUGAGUGCAACGAUGGUUGAACUUAUGAAAUUGUUUGCUAGUAAGAGUGCUCCUAUUGAUACUAAUGAUAUGCCUUUGUCUACUUUGAUUGCGAACAAUAAUGAAUCUAUGGAUGUGAAUUUUGUUGGUAGGAACAAUUUUGGUAAUAACGCUUAUAGAGGUAAUUUCAAUCCUAGGCCGUUUCCUAGUAAUUCCUCUAAUAAUUAUGGUAAUUCCGACAACAAUUCUUAUGAAAAUCAUAAUAAAAUGCCCUCUGAUAUUGGGAACAAUAUUAAAGAUUUUAUUAAUUCCUAAAAAGUUUUCAAUGCUAUUGUUGAAGAAAAAUUGCUCAAGAUUGAUGAUUUGGCUAGGAACGUUGAUAUAAUUUCUCUUGAGAUUGAUUCUUUGAAAAUUAGAUCUAUGCCACCCAAGCAUGAUAUUAAUGAAUCUCUAGAAGCUAUUAAAAUUUCUAUUGAUGAUUGUGAAGAAAGAACCGCUAGGAUGCGUGCUAAGCGAGAUUGGUUUGUGAAAGCGUGUUCUUCUAGUUUUUGUGAGAAUGAUGAUGAAGAUCUUAAAGUGAUUGGUGUGACUCCUAUUGAAUCUUUGUUUUCUAAUAUAAAUCUUAAUAAAGAUGGGACUGGAGAUGAGUCAACUUUAGCUAAAAGGUGUCCGAAUGAUUCAGAGUUUAAAGAUCUUAAUUUAAAAAUUGAUAAAAGUGGGAUUAGAGAGGUCAAAACUUUAAGUAGCGAUGAACCCACUCUUUUGGAUUUCAAGGACAUUAAUUGUGAUAAUUGUUCUUUGAUAGAUUGUAUUUCCUUGUUGCAAUCCAUGUUCAAUUCUCCUCAUGCUUAUAAUCAAAAUAAGGCUCAUACUAAACAUAUCGUUGAUGCUAUGAUGAAAUAUUUUGAAGAAAAACUUGAGUUGGAAGUUUCGAUCCCUAGAAAGCUUUAUGAUGAGUGGGAACCUACUAUUAAGAUUAAAAUUAAAGAUUAUGAGUUACAUGAUUUGUUUGAUUUGGGUGCUACUAUCUCCAUGAUUCCAAAAACUUUAUAUGAUGCGAUAGGUUUCCGUGAAUUUGAUGAUUAUUCUUUAAAUUUGCAUCUAGCGGAUUCUACUAUUAAAACCUAUGGGAAGGAUUAAUGAUAUUCUUAUUGUUGCAAAUAGGAAUUAUGUGCCUGCAGAUUUCAUUGUGCUUGAUAUAGAUUGCAAUCUUACAUCACUACAAAAAAAAGACACAUCCGUGACAUUUUGGGCCGAACGAAUUUUUUCUCUCUCAUACUUAUGACACUUCUACGACGAUAAUUGUGACAAAACCCGGUAUCAUCAUAGAUGUGGUGGGCUCCUACUUCGUCCUGCGCGGGCCGGAGACACAGCUGCAUGACAUUCUUUGGGCCGUCCAUGACGAAAAAACCGUGGUAGAAGCGAGGGCGAGGAAAAUAUCGGGGUGUUCCCGGUUACGGUGGGUGGUCGGGGCCGAGCGAUGCACGAAGGUUUGCGUGUUUCUCUCGUACACGCACGCGCAUGGGUGCGAGGCGUUGGGCUCUAACUGAACCCGAGCGAGGCGUUCGCCUACUGAACCCGAGCGAUUGCACUGCAGGCUACGCGUUACUGAACCCGAGUGGUCGAUCGAUGGCUGUUAACUGAACCCGAUCGAGCGAUUCCUUCGCUACUGCUGCUAACUGAAGCUGAUCGAUGCUGCCUCAGGAUGAACAGUGAGCGUUGUUGGCGGGGUGGAUGAACAGAUCCCGGUGGGGGGUUGGAUGAACAGGACCCCGUGGUAGUAGAGGCUGUUGCCGCUGGAUGAACAGGACCCCGAUCGAGCCGGUUGGGGGUGGAUGAACAGGACCCCGUGGAGGGCUGGAUGAACAGGACCCCAUGGAGGGUUGGCUGAACAGUAGUCGGUGGAGGGCUGGAUGAACAAUAGCCCGUGGAGGGGUGGUUGAACAGGACACCGUGGAGAGGGCUGGUUGAACAGUAGCCGGUGGAGGAGCGCGCGGUGGAGGCUGGAUGAACAGGAGCCCGUGGAUGAACAGUCACAGGUGGAGGCUGGAGGAGGUCGACGGUGGAUGAACAGUAGUCCGUGGAGGCUGGAGGAGGUCGACGGUGGAGAUGAACAGUAUCUCGUGGAGUCCUGUUUUGCGGUACGCCACACCCCUCCCGAUGAACAGGACCUCCGUUUCGACCAUAGCGCUCCAACACAAGUCUGUUUCCUCCGUUUUGCGGUACGCCACACCCCUCCCGAUCAACAGGACCCCGUUUCGACCGUAGGAGGUCCAACAGAAGUCCAUUUCCUCCAUUUUGCGGUACGCCGGACCCCUCCCGAUGAACAGGAUCCCGUUUCGAUUGUGGCCGGUCGAACACAAGGCCGUUUCCUCUGGUGUGCGGUACGCCAGGCCUCGUUUCCAUCAGCUGUUCCGUCCAAGCCCUCCCGAUGAACACGACGACGCAUUCCGUUCCGACCCAGCCGGUUGGCUCCCCAUGAACACGAUGACGACGCAGUUUCUCCGUUCCGACCCAGCCAUGUACACGAGCCCUGGCCGUACAUAUGCACGAGUAGGCGUUCGAGACCCCGCCCGUAUGUACGUACGUGGCCGUAUUUACUUUCUUGCACCCUGGCCGCUGUACGUAUGUGUAUAUGCUACAUGCGCGCCUCUACUACGACACGUGCGCGCCUCUACAUCGACCAGUAUGUACGUACAUGUUCGCGACCAGAAUGACAACGCUACGUACGCUUCGACCAGGUGGGUCGCGACUGUCAGGCACUUCCUUGCGUGCGAAGAUGUAGCUGGUGGGUCCCAGCAGUCAGGGGGGCGAAUCAUUUUUUUGCCCGUAACAUGGACGCACUUCCUUGCGUGGGAAGAUGUAGCUGGUGGGUCCCAGCAGUCAGGGGGAAACGUUUUUUCAUGAAAUACAGUGGCCCGUCCGGUGGUCCCUGCUGUCAGGUGGAUGAAUAAUUAUUUUGCGCGUAAUAAGGAGCCAAUUCCUUGCGGCUGCCGUGGACCCAGCUGUCAGCCUAUCAACGUACAGUACUCUUCCGAUGGAAGUCAUUCCUUGACCACGUUGACCACGCUGCGCCGAGAGCAACAGGACGGUGGACGACGGCGAGGCCUAGGAAGGGAACAUCACGGAGCCGAGGAAGACGCGGCAGUGGAUACCCACGCGGAGAGGAGUACGAGGGUUCACUGGUUCGGCUGCGGUGUGAGGCUGCCGUCGCCGUACAAUAACAGGGGGUAUGGGUGAGUAGAGGGAUGGCCUGGCCAGUGGUGGGAGUAGUAGGGGGCGGUGAGGCCUCCGCAGCAUCACAGCCGGCCACGGGAGGCAGGAGCACGCGGCACGACCGGCGCUGGUUUGGGCGGUUGGAGCAAGAAGACCAGAGAUUGAAGAAGCAGUACGGCCGUUGGAUGGACAUCGUACGGUCACUGGAGCUAGAAUCGUUCAUAUUGACUAAGUUGACAAAGCCCUCCAUCCCUGUCAACUUAGUAGGCCCACAAGUCAGCCUCCCACUAUGGUGGGUCCCAGCUGGCAGGGGGUAUUCAUUUUUUUGUGCGCAAUAAGGAGGCACUUCCUUGCGUGCGAAGAUAUAGCUGGUGGGUCUGAAUUGUCAGCGCGGGGAACUUUUUUUCGCGAAAUAAAGAGGCCCUUCCGGUGGGUCCCAGAUGUCAGGUGGAGGAAUCAUUAUUUUGCACGUAAUAAGGAGGCAUUUCCUUAUGUGCGGCCGUGGACCUAGCUGUCAGCCUCUCCACGUACAGUCCACUUUAGAUGGAUGCCGUUCGUUGACCACGUUGACCACGCCGCGCCGAGAGCACCACGGCGGUGGACGACGGUGAGGCCUACGAAGGGAACGACACGGAGCCGGGGAAGACACGGCAGUGGCUGCCCACGCGGUGGAGAGUACGAGGGUUGACUGGUUCGGCUGCCGUCGCCGGAAAAUAACAGGAGGUGUGGGUGAGUAGAGGGAUAGACAGGCUAGGGAUGCGAGUAUGGUGGGGCCGUGAGGCCUGCCCGGCAGCACAGCCGGCCACGGGAGGCGGGAGCAGGUCGUUCCGCCGGCGCUGGUUUGUGCGGCUGGAGCAGGAAGAUUAGAGGCUGAAGAAGCACGAUUGCCGUUAGAUUGACAUCUAACGGUCUGACGCUAGUAGAGUCGAUUGUUGACUAAGUUUCUUUUUUGAGAAACCUUGUGUACGCAUGAACUUAGUAGGCCCAGAAGUCAGCCUCCAAAUCUGUGGCAGACAACAUAGAGCCCAUUUGCUAAUUCUUAAGUAAUUUAUUACAGCCCAUUUUCUGCCCAGGACCACGGUCAAAAAGUUCAACCUUAUUUUGCAUAUUUCGGUGGAGUCCGAACUGUUGUAAUGCCGAAAUGAUAAACAUUUUUUCAAGAACUUAUUGAUUUGCCAAAAAAAUCAUUUUGUUUUUGUAAGCAAAUAAGACGUGGGACAAUUGAGUUGGUUUAAGGGAAAACCAGUCGUAAAAAAAAUCAGCUCUGGGAGGGAAAACAACAACAAAAAUAAGGAUGUAAAUAUGAAAAGGGAAUUUUAUGUAUUUUCAAUAUAAUGAUACGUGUAUAUGAACUAGUAAAACUAUAGGAAGAGAUUAGAAAACGGAUGUAGGACAUGCGUUUCAAGAGGAAAGUAGAACUGGGUUGUGUGUUUGAUUCAGUAAAAAAAACUGCCUGCGGAUGUUGUAAGACAAAAUAUAACUAACGCUGGCGGGCCAGGGGCCAGUAGAUACCUGCUGGAUCUUUGUGCCCCGUUGUCGUCAUGGGCUAGGCCUGUUAAAAACAAAACCAAGCCUGGGCAGUCUACAGCCCAGUUGAAACUUGCUCGACCUGAAAAAACAAUAUACCUGCUCAAUAAACGAGAGAAUUCUGCAAGUACAGACUGAUAACUGGGAUGCAGCAGGGAUAUUGUUUUUUCAUUGUUAUAAUAAGUGCAUGCACUUGUCUCAAAAAAUUUGGAGAACUGGGAAUUCGAACGACGGGUGCUUAUGCUACCCAUCAAAUAAAAAUCAGGUGCCUGAAAAUUUGUUUCAAAACAAAUGAUUCAGCUUUAUAUCCACGUCGACCCUCGGCAUGAUGGUUGGAAGCAAAUGCCAAGUUCAUAUCGAAAGAUCGUCAACAACAAUACCAACUUGCGGACGACAAGGUAGUACAAGUACCAAUACCAAACUAACUUAUAAUCUUUUUACUCCUCGCCCUAAUGUUCGUCUGGUAGAAAAUCUUGCAGAGGACCAGCUCCCGCUCCUUCUCUUGCUCCAGGUCCCCGAGGUGGUACUGGUGCAUCACCCAGUUGGUCCUCUGAUGGUCGAAGUUCUUGUUGGUGUGCAGCAUCAGAACCUUUUUUUCUGCCCGUCUGCCGACCGUUGACCAUCACCGGCAAGGUAUUGCCGGUCUUGUGCCACAUCGCGUGCAUGUCGCACUCCGACUGUAUCUUGUGACGCGUCCAUGUGCCCCUUUUGAACGCCCUCGCAUUGCGCUGGAAGAAAUGCUUGCUUAGGCCACUCAGUGUUAUACCUGCAGUAUUGUCAAAUACAGGUUUUAGUGUACGUAGUUGGCAUUUUCAUAACAUCUUUGGCAUGUUGCAGUCACUUGUUUCACUUUUUAUUAACUGUCAAAUUGUAAUUGCUUCACUAGGUCUGCGUCUAAAAAGAAAAAUAGAGCUAUAAACAAAAUAAUAUGUUUGUGCAAGUAGACGGCCGAUCGGUGUCUUACCUGGAAGUUUCUCAGAAUGGGUGUAGCAUAUGCCGUGCUCGUUGUUGAUGGUUGGUAUGAACAAAUUGAUGAGAGGGUGAGAUCUCGCGUUGUCAACACUCACUUUGGCAUCAAGGUGCUCGAUCAGCUCCUGAUCCGUGGGAUCAAACUUGACGCCAACCGGCAGUACCGGCCAAUCCUUCUUGGACUUGCAUCGUUUAAUUCCAGUUAUAUGGUACUCAAUGUAUGAUCAAUCGACUGUUUUAAGUGAAUAAUGAAAGAUUUCGACAGAUAAGUGGUACUCCAAAUCUGAAGUCCAGAAUACCCGAACACGCCGCCGGGAUUUUUGUGUCACCUCACGCGCAGCGUGUUGUCACGUCAAUUCAAUGUGUGGACAUGAUGAAUAAUUUGACCGACGUAUACUAGUACUGCUACUGUACUACUUACUAAUCGUAUUUAGUGUCAUGUUUUAACCAUAGGUUUAACUAACAAGUACGCACUUGAAGCCUAAUAUAUAUAUAUAUAUAUAUAUAUAUAUAUAUAUAUUGUUGGGAAUCGUAGCAUAAUUUAAAAUUUUCCUACGCUCACCAAGAUGCAUCUAUGGAGUAUACUAGCAACGAGGGGAAAGGAGUGCAUCUACAUACCCUUGUAGAUCGCGAGCGGAAGCGUUCCAAUGAACGUGGAUGACGGAGUCGUACUCGCCGUGAUCCAAAUCACCGAUGACCGAGUGCCGAACGGACGGCACCUCCGCGUUCAACACACGUACGGUGCAGCGACGACUCCUCCUUCUUGAUCCAGCAAGGGGGAAGGAGAGGUUGAUGGAGAUCCAGCAGCACGACGGCGUGGUGGUGGAUGUAGCGGGUCUCGGCAGGGCUUUGCUAAGCUUCUGCGAGAGAGAGAGAGGUGUUGCAGGGGAGGAGGGAGACGCCCAGGGCUGUUGUGUGCUGCCCUCCCUCCCCCCCCCUUUAUAUAGGCCCCCUGGGGGGGGUGCCGGCCCUGGAGAUGAGAUCCAAAGGGGGGGCGGCGGCCAAGUGGGGGGGGAAGGGGUGCCUUGCCCCCCAAGGCAAGGGGGAAGCUCCCCCCUAGGGUUCCCAACCCUAGGCGCAUGGGGGGAGGCCCAAGGGGGGCGCCCCAGCCCACUAAGGGCUGGUUCCCUUCCACUUUCAGCCCACGGGGCCCUCCGGGAUAGGUGGCCCCACCCGGUGGACCCCCGGGACCCUUCCGGUGGUCCCGGUACAAUACCGGUAACCCCCGAAACUUUCCCGGUGGCCGAAACUUGACUUCCUAUAUAUAAUUCUUCACCUCCGGACCAUUCCGGAACCUCUCGUGACGUCCGGGAUCUCAUCUGGGACUCCGAACAACUUUCGGGUUUCCGCAUACAUAUAUCUCUACAACCCUAGCGUCACCGGACCUUAAGUGUGUAGACCCUACGGGUUCGGGAGACAUGCAGACAUGACCGAGACGCCUCUCCGGUCAAUAACCAACAGCGGGAUCUAGAUACCCAUGUUGGCUCCCACAUGUUCCACGAUGAUCUCAUCGGAUGAACCACGGUGUCGAGGAUUCAAUCAAUCCGUAUGCAAUUCCCUUUGUCAAUCGGUAUGUUACUUGCCCGAGAUUCGAUCGUCGGUAUCCCAAUACCUUGUUCAAUCUCAUUACCGGCAAGUCUCUUUACUCGUACCGCAAUGCAUGAUCCCAUGACUAACGCCUUAGUCACAUUGAGCUCAUUAUGAUGAUGCAUUACCGAGUGGGCCCAGAGAUACCUCUCCGUCACACGGAGUGACAAAUCCCAGUCUCGAUCCGUGCCAACCCAACAGACACUUUCGGAGAUACCCGUAGUGCACCUUUAUAGUCACCCAGUUACGUUGUGACGUUUGGCACACCCAAAGCACUCCUACGGUAUCCGGGAGUUGCACGAUCUCAUGGUCUAAGGAAAAGAUACUUGACAUUGGAAAAGCUCUAGCAAACGAAACUACACGAUCUUUUAUGCUAUGCUUAGGAUUGGGUCUUGUCCAUCACAUCAUUCUCCUAAUGAUGUGAUCCCGUUAUCAAUGACAUCCAAUGUCCAUAGUCAGGAAACCAUGACUAUCUGUUGAUCAACGAGCUAGUCAACUAGAGGCUUACUAGGGACACGUUGUGGUCUAUGUAUUCACACAUGUAUUACGAUUACCGGACAAUACAAUUAUAGCAUGAAUAAUAGACAAUUACCAUGAACAAAGAAAUAUAAUAAUAACCAUUUAUUAUUGCCUCUAGGGCAUAUUUCCAACAGUCUCCCACUUGCACUAGAGUCAAUAAUCUAGUUACAUUGUGAUGAAUCAAACACCCAUUGCGUCCUGGUGUUGAUCAUGUUUUGCCCUAGGGAGAGGUUUAGUCAACGGAUCUGCUACAUUCAGGUCCGUGUGUACUUUACAAAUAUCUAUGUCUCCAUUUUGAACACUUUCACGAAUGGAGUUGAAGCGACGCUUGAUAUGCCUGGUCUUCCUGUGAAACCUGGGCUCCUUCGCAAGGGCAAUAGCUCCAGUGUUGUCACAGAAGAGAGUCAUUGGGCCCGACGCAUUGGGAAUCACCCCUAGGUCGGUAAUGAACUCCUUCAUCCAGACUGCUUCCUGUGCUGCCUCCGAGGCUGCCAUGUACUCCGCUUCACAUGUAGAUCCCGCCACGACGCUUUGCUUGCAACUGCACCAGCUUACUGCUCCUCCAUUCAAAAUAUACACGUAUCCGGUCUGUGACUUCGAGUCAUCCAGAUCUGUGUCGAAGCUAGCAUCGACGUAACCCUUUACGACGAGCUCUUCGUCACCUCCAUAAACGAGAAACAUAUCCUUAGUCCUCUUCAGGUACUUCAGGAUAUUCUUGACCACUGUCCAGUGUUCCAUGCCGGGAUUACUUUGGUACCUUCCUACCAAACUUACGGCAAGGUUUACAUCAGGUCUGGUACACAGCAUGGCAUACAUAAUAGACCCUAUGGCCGAGGCAUAGGGGAUGACACUCAUCUUUUCUAUAUCUUCUGCCGUGGUCGGGCAUUGAGCCGUGCUCAAUUGCACACCUUGCAAUACAGGCAAGAACCCCUUCUUGGACUGAUCCAUACUGAACUUCUUCAAUAUCUUGUCAAGGUAUGUACUCUGUGAAAGACCAAUGAGGCGUCUCGAUCUAUCUCUAUAGAUCUUGAUGCCUAAUAUAUAAGCAGCUUCUCCAAGGUCCUUCAUUGAAAAACACUUAUUCAAAUAGGCCUUUAUACUUUCCAAGAAUUCUAUAUCAUUUCCCAUCAAUAGUAUGUCAUCCACAUAUAAUAUGAGAAAUGCUACAGAGCUCCCACUCACUUUCUUGUAAACACAGGCUUCUCCAUAAGUCUGUGUGAACCCAAACGCUUUGAUCAUCUCAUCAAAGCGAAUGUUCCAACUCCGAGAUGCUUGCACCAGCCCAUAGAUUGAGCGUUGGAGCUUGCAUACUUUGUUAGCAUUCUUAGGAUCGACAAAACCUUCCGGCUGCAUCAUAUACAACUCUUCCUUAAGGAAGCCGUUAAGGAAUGCCGUUUUGACGUCCAUCUGCCAUAUUUCAUAAUCAUAGUAUGCGGCAAUUGCUAACAUGAUUCGGACGGACUUCAGCUUCGCUACGGGUGAGAAAGUCUCAUCGUAGUCAACCCCUUGAACUUGUCGAUAACCCUUAGCGACAAGUCGAGCUUUGUAGAUGGUCACAUUACCAUCUGCGUCCGUCUUCUUCUUAAAGAUCCAUUUGUUUUCUAUGGCUCGCCGCUCAUCGGGCAAGUCACUCAAAGUCCAUACUUUGUUUUCAUACAUGGAUUCUAUCUCGGAUUUCAUGGCUUCUAGCCAUUUAUCAGAAUCCGGGCCCGCCAUCGCUUCUUCAUAGUUCGAAGGUUCACCGUUGUCUAACAACAUGAUUUCCAAGACAGGGUUGCCGUACCACUCUGGCGCGGAACGUGUCCUUGUGGACCUACGAAGUUCAGUAACUUGAUCUGAAGUUUCAUGAUCAUCAUCAUUAACUUCCUCCCCAGUCGGUGUAGGCACCACAGGAACAUUUUCCCGCGCUGCGCUACUUCCCGGUUCGGAAGGGGUGACUAUCACCUCAUCAAGUUCCACUCUCGUCCCACUCAAUUCUUUCGAGAGAAACUCCUUCUCUAGAAAGGACCCGUUCUUGGCAACGAAGAUCUUGCCCUCGGAUCUGAGGUAGAAGGUAUACCCAAUAGUUUCCUUAGGGUAUCCUAUGAAGACGCAUUUUUCCGACUUGGGUUCGAGCUUUUCAGGUUGAAGUUUCUUGACAUAAGCAUCGCAUCCCCAAACUUUUAGAAAUGACAGCUUAGGUUUCUUCCCAAACCAUAAUUCAUACGGUGUCGUCUCAACGGAUUUCGACGGAGCCCUAUUUAAAGUGAAUGCGGCAGUCUCUAAAGCAUAACCCCAAAAUGAGAGCGGUAAAUCGGUAAGAGACAUCAUAGAUCGCACCAUAUCCAAUAGAGUGCGAUUACGAUGUUCGGACACACCAUUUCUCUGAGGUGUUCCAGGCGGCGUGAGUUGUGAAACUAUUCCACAUUUCCUUAAGUGUGUACCAAAUUCGUGACUUAAAUAUUCUCCACCACGAUCUGAUCGUAAGAAUUUUAUUUUCCUGUCACGUUGAUUCUCAACUUCACUCUGAAAUUCCUUGAACUUUACAAAGGUUUCAGAUUUGUGUUUCAUUAGGUAGACAUACCCAUAUCUACUUAAAUCAUCAGUGAGAGUGAGAACAUAACGAUAUCCUCCGCGAGCCUCAACACUCAUUGGACCACACACAUCGGUAUGUAUGAUUUCCAAUAAGUUGGUUGCUCGUUCCAUUGUUCCGGAGAACGGAGUCUUGGUCAUCUUACCCAUGAGGCAUGGUUCGCACGUGUCAAAUGAUUCGUAAUCAAGAGACUCCAAAAGUCCAUCUGCAUGGAGCUUCUUCAUGCGCUUGACACCAAUGUGACCAAGGCGGCAGUGCCACAAGUAUGUGGGACUAUCGUUAUCAACUUUACAUCUUUUGGUAUUCACACUAUGAACAUGUGUAACAUCAUGUUUGAGAUUCAUCAAAAAUAAACCAUUGACCAGCGGGGCAUGACCAUAAAACAUAUCUCUCAAAUAAAUAGAACAACCAUUAUUCUCGGAUUUAAAUGAGUAGCCAUCUCGAAUUAAACGAGAUCCAGACACAAUGUUCAUGCUCAAAGCUGGCACUAAAUAACAAUUAUUGAGGUUUAAAACUAAUCCCGUGGGUAGAUGCAGAGGUAGCGUGCCGACGGCGAUCACAUCGACCUUGGAACCAUUCCCGACGCGCAUCGUCACCUCGUCCUUUGCCAGUCUCCGUCUAUUCCGUAGUUCCUGUUUUGAGUUACAAAUAUGAGCAACCGCACCGGUAUCAAAUACCCAGGAGCUACUACGAAUACUGGUAAGGUACACAUUAAUUACAUGUAUAUCACAUAUACCUUUGGUGUUGCCGGCCUUCUUCUUGUCCGCUAAGUAUUUGGGGCAGUUCCGCUUCCAGUGACCACUUCCCUUGCAAUAAAAGCACUCAGUCUCGGGCUUGGGUCCAUUCUUUGACUUCUUCCCGGUAACUGGUUUACCGGGCGCGGCAACUCCCUUGCCGUCCUUCUUGAAGUUCUUCUUACCCUUGCCCUUCUUGAACUUAGUGGUUUUAUUCACCAUCAACACUUGAUGUUCUUUUCUGAUCUCCACCUCCCCUGCAUAUUGAAGUUCAUCACAAAGCUCUUGUAGCUUGGUGGAAGCGACUGGAGGAUUCUGUCAAUGACCGCAUCAUCCGGGAGAUUAACUCCCAGCUGAGACAAGCGGUUGUGCAACCCAGACAUUCUGAGUAUGUGCUCACUAACAGAACUAUUCUCCUCCAUUUUACAGCUGAAGAACUUGUCGGAGACAUCAUAUCUCUCGACCCGGGCAUGAGCUUGAAAAACCAGUUUCAGCUCCUCGAACAUCUCAUAUGCUCCAUGUUUCUCAAAACGCUUUUGGAGACCCGGCUCUAAGCUGUAAAGCAUGCCGCACUGAACGAGGGAGUAAUCAUCAGCACGCUGCUGCCAAGCGUUCAUAACGUCUUGGUUCUCUGGGAUUGGUGCUUCACCUAGCGGUGCUUCUAAGACAUAAUCUUUCUUGGCUACUAUGAGGAUGAGCCUCAGGUUCCGGACCCAGUCCGUAUAGUUGCUGCCAUCAUCUUUCAGCUUGGUUUUCUCUAGGAACGCGUUGAAAUUGAGGACAACGUUGGCCAUUUGAUCUACAAUACAUAGUGUAAAGAUUUUAGACUAAGUUCAUGAUAAUUNNNNNNNNNNNNNNNNNNNNNNNNNNNNNNNNNNNNNNNNNNNNNNNNNNNNNNNNNNNNNNNNNNNNNNNNNNNNNNNNNNNNNNNNNNNNNNNNNNNNUCAUCCGGGAGAUUAACUCCCAGCUGAGACAAGCGGUUGUGCAACCCAGACAUUCUGAGUAUGUGCUCACUAACAGAACUAUUCUCCUCCAUUUUACAGCUGAAGAACUUGUCGGAGACAUCAUAUCUCUCGACCCGGGCAUGAGCUUGAAAAACCAGUUUCAGCUCCUCGAACAUCUCAUAUGCUCCAUGUUUCUCAAAACGCUUUUGGAGACCCGGCUCUAAGCUGUAAAGCAUGCCGCACUGAACGAGGGAGUAAUCAUCAGCACGCUGCUGCCAAGCGUUCAUAACGUCUUGGUUCUCUGGGAUUGGUGCUUCACCUAGCGGUGCUUCUAAGACAUAAUCUUUCUUGGCUACUAUGAGGAUGAGCCUCAGGUUCCGGACCCAGUCCGUAUAGUUGCUGCCAUCAUCUUUCAGCUUGGUUUUCUCUAGGAACGCGUUGAAAUUGAGGACAACGUUGGCCAUUUGAUCUACAAUACAUAGUGUAAAGAUUUUAGACUAAGUUCAUGAUAAUUAAGUUCAUAUAAUCAAAUUAUUUAAUGAACUCCCACUCAGAUAGACAUCCCUCUAGUCAUCUAAGUGAAACAUGAUCCGAAUUCAACUAGGCCGUGUCCGAUCAUCACGUGAGACGGACUAGUCAAGAUCGGUGAACAUCUCCAUGUUGAUCGUAUCUUCUAUAUGACUCAUGCUCGACCUUUCGGUUCUCCGUGUUCCGAGGCCAUGUCUGUACAUGCUAGGCUCGUCAAGUCAACCUAAGUGUAUUGCGUGUGUUCCGAGGCCAUGUCUGUACAUGCUAGGCUCGUCAACACCCAUUGUAUUCAAACGUUAGAAUCUAUCACACCCGAUCAUCACGUGGUGCUUCGAAACAAUGAACCUUCGCAACGGUGCACAGUUAGGGUGAACACUUUCUUGAAAUUAUUAUAAGGGAUCAUCUUACUUACUACCGUCCUUCUAAGCAAAUAAGAUGCAAAAACAUGAUAAACAUCACAUGCAAUCAAAUAGUGACAUGAUAUGGCCAAUAUCAUCAUGCUCCUUUGAUCUCCAUCUUCGGGGCACCAUGAUCAUCUUCGUCACCGGCAUGACACCAUGAUCUCCAUCAUUGUGUCUUCAUGAAGUCGUCACGCCAACGAUUACUUCUACUUCCAUGGCUAACGCGUUUAGCAACAAAGUAAAGUAAUUUACAUGGCGUUAUUCAAUGACACGCAGGUCAUACAAAAUAAUAAAGACAACUCCUAUGGCUCCUGCCGGUUGUCAUACUCAUCGACAUGCAAGUCGUGAUUCCUAUUACAAGAAUAUGAUCAAUCUCAUACAUCACAUAUAUCAUUCAUCACAUCUUCUGGCCAUAUCACAUCACAAAGCACUUGCUGCAAAAACAAGUUAGACGUCCUCUAAUUGUUGUUGCAAGUUUUUACGUGGUUUGUAGGUUUCUAGCAAGAACGUUUCUUACCUACGUAUGACCACAACGUGAUUUGCCAAUUUCUAUUUACCCUUCAUCAGGACCCUUUUCAUCGAAUCCGUUCCGACUAAAGUAGGAGAGACAGACACCCGCUAGCCACCUUAUGCAACUAGUGCCUGUCAGUCGGUGGAACCUGUCUCACGUAAGCGUACGUGUAAGGUCGGUCCGGGCCGCUUCUUCCUACAAUGCCGCCGAAACAAGAAACGACUAGUAGCGGCAAGAAGAAUUGGCAACAGCAACGCCCACAACUUCUUUGUGUUCUACUCGUGCAUAGUAACUACGCAUAGGCCUGGCUCAUGAUGCCACUGUUGGGAAUCGUAGCAUAAUUUAAAAUUUUCCUACGCUCACCAAGAUGCAUCUAUGGAGUAUACUAGCAACGAGGGGAAAGGAGUGCAUCUACAUACCCUUGUAGAUCGCGAGCGGAAGCGUUCCAAUGAACGUGGAUGACGGAGUCGUACUCGCCGUGAUCCAAAUCACCGAUGACCGAGUGCCGAACGGACGGCACCUCCGCGUUCAACACACGUACGGUGCAGCGACGACUCCUCCUUCUUGAUCCAGCAAGGGGGAAGGAGAGGUUGAUGGAGAUCCAGCAGCACGACGGCGUGGUGGUGGAUGUAGCGGGUCUCGGCAGGGCUUUGCUAAGCUUCUGCGAGAGAGAGAGAGGUGUUGCAGGGGAGGAGGGAGACGCCCAAGGCUGUUGUGUGCUGCCCUCCCCCCCCUUUACAAGUACCAAUACCAAACUAACUUAUAAUCUUUUUACUCCUCGCCCUAAUGUUCGUCUGGUAGAAAAUCUUGCAGAGGACCAGCUCCCGCUCCUUCUCUUGCUCCAGGUCCCCGAGGUGGUACUGGUGCAUCACCCAGUUGGUCCUCUGAUGGUCGAAGUUCUUGUUGGUGUGCAGCAUCAGAACCUUUUUUUCUGCCCGUCUGCCGACCGUUGACCAUCACCGGCAAGGUAUUGCCGGUCUUGUGCCACAUCGCGUGCAUGUCGCACUCCGACUGUAUCUUGUGACGCGUCCAUGUGCCCCUUUUGAACGCCCUCGCAUUGCGCUGGAAGAAAUGCUUGCUUAGGCCACUCAGUGUUAUACCUGCAGUAUUGUCAAAUACAGGUUUUAGUGUACGUAGUUGGCAUUUUCAUAACAUCUUUGGCAUGUUGCAGUCACUUGUUUCACUUUUUAUUAACUGUCAAAUUGUAAUUGCUUCACUAGGUCUGCGUCUAAAAAGAAAAAUAGAGCUAUAAACAAAAUAAUAUGUUUAUGCAAGUAGACGGCCGAUCGGUGUCUUACCUGGAAGUUUCUCAGAAUGGGUGUAGCAUAUGCCGUGCUCGUUGUCGAUGGUUGGUAUGAACAAAUUGAUGAGAGGGUGAGAUCUCGCGCUGUCAACACUCACUUUGGCAUCAAGGUGCUCGAUCAGCUCCUGAUCCGUGGGAUCAAACUUGACGCCAACCGGCAGUACCGGCCAAUCCUUCUUGGACUUGCAUCGUUUAAUUCCAGUUAUAUGGUACUCAAUGUAUGAUCAAUCGACUGUUUUAAGUGAAUAAUGAAAGAUUUCGACAGAUAAGUGGUACUCCAAAUCUGAAGUCCAGAAUACCCGAACACGCCGCCGGGAUUUUUGUGUCACCUCACGCGCAGCGUGUUGUCACGUUAAUUCAAUGUGUGGACAUGAUGAAUAAUUUGACCGACGUAUACUAGUACUGCUACUGUACUACUUACUAAUCGUAUUUAGUGUCAUGUUUUAACCAUAGGUUUAACUAACAAGUACGCACUUGAAGCCUAAUAUAUAUAAUAUAUAUAUAUAUAUAUAUAUAUAUAUAUAUAUAUAUAUAUAUUGUUGGGAAUCGUAGCAUAAUUUAAAAUUUUCCUACGCUCACCAAGAUGCAUCUAUGGAGUAUACUAGCAACGAGGGGAAAGGAGUGCAUCUACAUACCCUUGUAGAUCGCGAGCGGAAGCGUUCCAAUGAACGUGGAUGACGGAGUCGUACUCGCCGUGAUCCAAAUCACCGAUGACCGAGUGCCGAACGGACGGCACCUCCGCGUUCAACACACGUACGGUGCAGCGACGACUCCUCCUUCUUGAUCCAGCAAGAGGGAAGGAGAGGUUGAUGGAGAUCCAGCAGCACGACGGCGUGGUGGUGGAUGUAGCGGGUCUCGGCAGGGCUUUGCUAAGCUUCUGCGAGAGAGAGAGAGAGGUGUUGCAGGGGAGGCGGGAGACGCCCAAGGCUGUUGUGUGCUGCCCUCCCUCCCCCCCCCCCUUUAUAUAGGCCCCCUGGGGGGCGCCGGCCCUGGAGAUGAGAUCCAAAGGGGGGGCGGCGGCCAAGUGGGGGGAAGGGGUGCCUUGCCCCCCAAGGCAAGGGGGAAGCUCCCCCCCCCCAGGGUUCCCAACCCUAGGCGCAUGGGGGAGGCCCAAGGGGGGCGCCCCAGCCCACUAAGGGCUGGUUCCCUUCCACUUUCAGCCCACGGGGCCCUCCGGGAUAGGUGGCCCCACCCGGUGGACCCCCGGGACCCUUCCGGUGGUCCCGGUACAAUACCGGUAACCCCCGAAACUUUCCCGGUGGCCGAAACUUGACUUCCUAUAUAUAAUUCUUCACCUCCGGACCAUUCCGGAACCUCUCGUGACGUCCGGGAUCUCAUCCGGGACUCCGAACAACUUUCGGGUUUCCGCAUACAUAUAUCUCUACAACCCUAGCGUCACCGGACCUUAAGUGUGUAGACCCUACGGGUUCGGGAGACAUGCAGACAUGACCGAGACGCCUCUCCGGUCAAUAACCAACAGCGGGAUCUGGAUACCCAUGUUGGCUCCCACAUGUUCCACGAUGAUCUCAUCGGAUGAACCACGGUGUCGAGGAUUCAAUCAAUCCGUAUGCAAUUCCCUUUGUCAAUCGGUAUGUUACUUGCCCGAGAUUCGAUCGUCGGAAUCCCAAUACCUUGUUCAAUCUCGUUACCGGCAAGUCUCUUUACUCGUACCGCAAUGCAUGAUCCCGUGACUAACGCCUUAGUCACAUUGAGCUCAUUAUGAUGAUGCAUUACCGAGUGGGCCCAGAGAUACCUCUCCGUCACACGGAGUGACAAAUCCCAGUCUCGAUCCGUGCCAACCCAACAGACACUUUCGGAGAUACCCGUAGUGCACCUUUAUAGUCACCCAGUUACGUUGUGACAUUUGGCACACCCAAAGCACUCCUACGGUAUCCGGGAGUUGCACGAUCUCAUGGUCUAAGGAAAAGAUACUUGACAUUGGAAAAGCUCUAGCAAACGAAACUACACGAUCUUUUAUGCUAUGCUUAGGAUUGGGUCUUGUCCAUCACAUCAUUCUCCUAAUGAUGUGAUCCCGUUAUCAAUGACAUCCGAUGUCCAUAGUCAGGAAACCAUGACUAUCUGUUGAUCAACGAGCUAGUCAACUAGAGGCUUACUAGGGACACGUUGUGGUCUAUGUAUUCACACAUGUAUUACGAUUUCCGGACAAUACAAUUAUAGCAUGAAUAAUAGACAAUUACCAUGAACAAAGAAAUAUAAUAAUAACCAUUUAUUAUUGCCUCUAGGGCAUAUUUCCAACAUAUAUAUAUAUAUAUAUAUAUAUAUAUAUAUAUAUAUAUAUACUGCACAACAUCUCCAUCAUCAUUAUCAGUACAUCCUACGCAGGUGAGUUAGGAUGCACUUGAUCCCAGAAAGGUAUCUAUCCUUCAAACCAGAGGAGUGCUUCAAACUAACAACAGUACAUAAUAUCCAACAAAAGAGGGUCGUGCUACAGCAGCAGAAUACAUGGCUCAGUGUAGAUAUUAGUACAAAUCAAGUUGUGCAUAUUUGCUGUUGGCAUGAACCACAUCGCCGCAUGUCAGGUUUGCAAAAGCCAUCCAUCGCAUGCAAGCUUGAUGCCUUUCACACACUGAAGAUUAUCUGGCAACAAGCUGUGUCGACGAAUCUCUGGAUAUGGUGAUUCAUGAAACCCAUGGUAUGUUGUGUAAACACAGUCUCCCCUGGCGAAUGGAAGCUGCAUAGCACGGUAAUCAUCGCCGGUGAUAUGAUCGAUGAUUGGUUGGAUGAUCGAAUAAUUGAGUCCGAGGAACAUGGAGUGGUUGCCGAGGCUGUAAACCCGCCUCCAGUUGAAUACGCCUGGCCCAAUGGAGCUGGGAUCUUUCUCGAACACGAAGCAGCCAUAGCCAUCAAUGUCACGAAUGCCCCAGGCAUUGUACUGCAUGUGGUUUGAUGUAAUGGUUUGGUCAAUUUGGUACGUGCGAAUGAGCAUCAAAUGACCGCCGUCAGCUGAACGAGCGAUAAACCACCACCCAUCGGCUGGUAUGAUUCCAGGUCCUGGAAUCAUGAAGGCCAGCGCAUUUGCGUCUGCUGCAACAAUUCAAAUUGGAGACCAAAAGGACAAAAAUAAACAAUCAUGUUCAGAGUAUGUGUGGAAUUAAGAUUAUUAUAACAGUGACACAUAUCAUAGACAGAGAAUUGCAAUGCCGUGGUCAUAAUCAUACCCCAAGUGUAAAAAAUAAGCCAAGGGCUUUCAUAUUCUAGCAAUAUGUCAUGGUUCAAAUAUCAUGUAACAAUGAGAGGAAAACAGCUAUGACAGAGCCUACUCAUAUUCUACCAUAGCACUUACUACUGUUCUCAUAUCAACUCUAAGCAACAACAUGCGUUGUUAUAAAAAUCAUGGAAAUGAGAGUAACAUAUAGCAAUCAUGAGGUUAUGCUCAUAAUAUCUAUUCUAACAAUCAUUAGAUGCCAAUUGUUCUCAUAUCAACUCUAACAAUAACAUGUGUGGUCAUAAAAAUCUAGGAAAUGAGAGGAACAUAUAGCAAUGGUGUGGUUAUAGACAUACUAUCUAUUCUAAAUUUGUAACAAUGAACAGGUAGUCGUAUUCAUAAGGUAAAGAUGAGAUGAGAUAGAAAAAUUACACGACGAUAGAUUCCACCAGUAUAGGCAGCCAAUCUGUGCGUCGACCGCGUAAAUGAUGCCAUUGUGCACUAUAACAUCAGACAGAAAUGUUGCCUCAACAGGAUUGACGAUGAGCCAUAACCAUGUAUGGCGACCGGAUUCCAGAUAGACUAAUCCCAUGUUGAACAAGGCAAUGAGCUUGUAAUCCAUGUUGUCUUUUGAUGGUGAGGGUACUUCGCAGAUUACAACUUUCAGCAAACAGAGGUCGAGCCAAAAGCUUGACGUGUCUCAUGCGUAGUAGGUAGGAGUGUCCGGCGGGCCGCGAGGCUCGAUGGCGGCGGUAUCCAACGAUGGAAGGGUGAUCUCUCGCUGGGUGUAGAUAUCCACGAGAUGCCACGGACUACCGGAUUGGUGGAUGAGGACGAUCCAGUUGGCCUUCAUGCCCGCCCAGUAGUGGCCGCGCAUGAAGGACAGGUGGACGGGUAGUGGUAGCAUGUCGAGGGGCACCACGGCAACCUCCGUAGGAUCAUCAAGUCGGUGUCUGGGCCACCUGCGAGGAUCGGGCAUCAGCAAGCAGGGUGUCUUGAAACGAGCCGGCCGGUUGCAGACGAGUAGACGGUACAAAGACACCGAGCAUGUAAAAAGAAGUCGAGAGGGUUAAAAAAUGGAAUACCUGGGUAGAUGGCGACGGUCCGAUCGUGGUAGAUUGUGUGACCAUGUUGCACAUCAGUGGUACCAUGGGUAACGACUGCUAAGAUAGUUGAUCCCAAUAUGCCAAAGUCAGCUACAAGGUUCUAGGUUAGACCGAAUCGCGGAUGCAAAUGCACAUCCAGGAUCGGCGAUCUUAUUUUGAUCGGGGGAUGACUGGUCCCUUCAAAAUAAUGGAGUACCGUUAGGGAUGAAAAUGAUGGUUUGUGCAUUCCGCUUGUAAUCUCCCAUACCGUAGGAUGGAAACCACAUGAAACAAGUCCCCAGGCUUGUCACCGCGAAGAUGCGGCCUAGAUGACGCACGGCGUCUUCGAACGUUUAGGGGUACAAAUCUGCCGCCGCCAACAUGCGCCAGCCUCUGCCGUUACUGCCUCUUGCAUUGAUGGCAAUCCUUAUCGAACACUGCGAUGAGAUAGUAAUCGUCGUAGCCGCGUCGCUUUGUCGGCAGGUACGCAAUUGCUAUCUUCUUCAAUCUCAUGUAGGCAUCAUCAUACAUAUUCAAGCCCAGCCAGUCCGGGAGGCCGAUCCCAAUGGUGGAGAAGGGGUCUACGGGAAUGGCCGCACUGCUGUGGAUGUUGUGCAAAAUGAUGGUGGUAUACGGCCGGAGGUAUGCAAGCCAGUCUUCGUUGGCACCGACCCAGACCUAUACAUAAGAUGGUGGGCAGCGGAGAAAUUACGGGAUGGAAAUGGAAUAACUAAGUACUACAUGAUCAAACUCCAUUACUGACCUGCUCAUCGGACAAAAUCUGAAUACCUCUCAACGUCGGCAACUCUAGCGGAGUCAACGUGCAACCAUGGCCAGGGAGCGGUGGACUGUUCGAAGGAUUUUCCCAUAGAAGAACCUUCUCCUCGAGGACGCAUGGAAGACCAACAAGCAUGGCCUUUUCCCAAGCCUGUUUAAGCACCGUCUUGAAAAAGUUGGUGCAGGAAGCACCGAGUCGUGCGGUGGUGAGGACGUCGGAGCGGCGUGCGAUUUCUCCCAGAGGAUCGUCGUCCAAGGUCUCCCAGCCCCGACGAGGAGGAGAACCGCCUGGUGAAUCCAUGGGAGCAGCGAUGAACUACCUUCUCUUCGGGGGGAGGGGAACUGGCGAGGAGGAGAUAAGAGCGUAGAAACCACAGGGCCUCUUUCCUUCCAACUGUAGAUCGUUCCUUAGCGAAGGGGUGAGGCUAUUAUUUACUACUAGUACUAGCAUUAUGGGACCUUAUGGGAUUGCAUUAUACUGUAAAUAAUAGCACUAGUAAGAAAUUUUUGGCACUAGGUAGUAGUUUUUGGCAUGGAUUAAGAAAUUUUGGGUAUGUUUUUGCUAUUUUUUGUACACACCAACUAGUGUCAAAAAAGUCUUACAUUAUGGGACGGAGGAAUACGUACUCAUACUGUAGCAGUACUAGUACUACUUUCUCAACUAGUAGUGCGAUGUACUGUACUUCUAGUAUAGUGCACCAGUUUUGAACUCUUGAAUCUCAGGGCCAAGGAGCUACAGUUAGAAUUGGAGGGUACUACUGUUCUCUAGAACCAUCGCUGUACUAUCAGUGCAAGGAAAGUACACCUGCGUAGUGGGUACUCUCGGUGCUCUAUUCAGCCGCUCCUCUCACGUAGCUGGCCUACUCAGCCGCUCCUCUCACGCACACACUAGCAGCCUGUUUAUCAGUGACGGUUACUGCAGGGGCAGAACAUUUGAGUUAUUUGAUACAGCGAGACUAGGCUUUUCGCUUCCAUUUGUGGAGGUGUAAUGGAUCUCGUCGAACUUUGUUAGUAGUUCCUUCUUUAUGAAUGAGAUGAGGCAAAGCUUUUGCCUCCGUUUCAAAAAAACAUGUCAAGAGGAAUUUCUUUUAUAGAGCCGAUAAUGGAGUGAAGUCCAUGCGUGCAACGCCACAAGCUACAGAGUAGUAGUAGAGUACUUUAUGUACAGAGCCAUAUUGCACAGUUCCCAAUGCCCCGCCAGGCUUUUUCGGCUCCUCGGGCUUAAUUGGAAGGCGCUAGUUUAAAUAUGCUACUAGCUGAUGAGGAAGCUGCAAUCGAGGUGCGGCUAGGGCGAGCACGCGAGCCACGAGAUGAUGGGAAGAAAAACCCGUUCACGUGGCUAGGCUAUCCAGUGCACCCAGAUUGUAGUGCCACACGUCCAUUUGACUUCAAAACUCAAACUACUCGUGUACAAUAUUGGCUCGCAGCGAAGUUACUACUCCCUCUCUCUCAGUUUACAAGGCAUGCGCGUACCCUAGGUCGUCAAUUUGACCAACCUAAUACAAGUCAUAUAUUACAAAAAAUAUAACAAUAUAAACUUCAGAUGUUCUAUUUUCGAAAGGUAUAAUUUUUGUGUUAUUUAGUUUAUAUUAGCGUGAUAAAAUUGGCAGCCUAGGUAUACGCGCAGGACUUGUAAACUAAAAUGGAGGUAUUUUUUAAAAAAAGGCCGCCGUGCGUUCGGCCGGGAUCGAACCCACAAAACGAGGUAUACACUCCCGCGACCACUAGUAGUACUCGUUGGAGUACAAUGCAACCUAGAAUCGCCUUUUGUCACUAGUAAUACAUUGUUGCUUACAAGAAACCACCAAUAAUGCCAAGAAACUACUACCACUUGCAUACGUGGCAGACUUAAGAUAAGACUACCUUAUCAACCACUGUACAUGCCCUUACCAACCAGCCCUACCAAGAAACGACUACUCUACAAAGUGCCAUUAUAGGCACGUAUCAACCCAUGUCGCCCAUUAAGUCAACGCCUUCUAUUCGACCGGGAAGUUAGGUGUUAUGACUUGUGGGACCUACAUGUCAGUCUGCACAAAAAUCCCCGAGUGAGCUCCUACCUCCGGCCCGUCCACCUAGUCAUCCUCAGCCAUGGGACGCAGCUACCGCCGCCGGCAGAAGGCAAGGUCAAAACUGCCGGCGGUGCGGAGCCCAUCUUGCGGCAGCCCGGAUGCCAGCUCCGUCCGGCGCUCGCGGCCGCUAGCUAGCCAAGAUAGCUCCGUCCAACUGCUUGUCUGCAAGGUUUGCUAGCUAGAUUGGCACGGCGGCACGGCAGCUUGCUCGUGCGCGCCGCGCUAAGGCCAGCCAUCUGGCUCGAGCGAAGGCCAGCGCGGCGGCUUGCUCGCUCGUGAGUCACGCUCGGGCCAGCCAGCCAACCCGUGCGGAGGCCAGCACGGCGUCUGGCCCGUCUGGCGGAGCGGCGGCCAACUCGCUCAUCACCGGCGCCACCGACGAACACACAUCAGUACUGUUUGAAGUAAUGUUCAGGAAAAAUAAUGAUUUGAGGGGGAAUAACAGGAUAGAAGGUCAGAUGUGGGUCCCUCGUGUCAACGGUCAAACAAAAUGUGUUGGUUUAAGCUGCCUCGUCAGCACGGACGUGUGGGCCAACCCCAUCAUAAACGGGUUUAAACGAGCCUAAUCGGCACUAGGUAGUAGUUUUUGGCGUGGAUUAAGAAAUUUUCGGUAUGUUUUUGCUAUUUUUUGUACAAUAGUUUCUUCCUAGGGCUGGUUGAAAGUGGUAGUUUUUUGUUAAAUACUCUACAUGUUGUAAGUAGGAGUGAAAGUUAAGCUUUGGAAGCCAAUAAGCAAGGCUAGUUACAUAGUGCAUAUGUGUACGUGAUUGAAAGUAAAUAUCAACCAUGAGAGACUAAUAUCUUGAUGGAAAACUCGAAACUAUGGAAAUACUAGGAUUUUUUUUUGCAUGGUUGGAAAUGCUAGCAAUGUUCAUGUGCAUUGCAAUGGAUCAUAAUUAGAAUAAUACUUAUUCACAAACUUGAUACAAAACACUCUCAUUUUGAUAUAAUAUAUCACUAGAGAUAUAUUAUGUUUCAAUCAGAAUAUAUUCCUUGGGCUGUGCAUUUUUUUAUAAAACACUUGUUGUGAUUGACCCAUGCAGGAGUAAUCCCAUGUGUAAAAACUAAUGAUAUCUCGAGAAAUAGGAGAUAAGGUGAAGAGGAGUGGGGCAUGGUGGUGAUUGGUGGUCGGACUGAGCGGAGACAUGGGGAUUGACGACGCCGGCAGCGGCCACAAGACCAGUUUUUUCCAGAGGCUUCCUUUCUUAAUUGCUCAACAAUGAGGUUGUUGGAGAUAAGGAUGAACGAGGGAAGGCCUUGUCUGCAAAUGUGGAGAGAGGUGCGGGUAUCUUUUAGUUUAAUUUCCAUCUGUCAGAUAUAGAUCGGACGGUCUAUAUUGCAAGAUGGCACGCGUACCAUCAUCACCAACUCGGCUUUUUAUAAGAGAAGAAAUAUAAGUAUGGAGAUACAAACGUAUUAUCGAUACUUGUUUCCGUAAACUAGCAUCUACAUUCUAUUCAACGCCUCAGCAUGUGGGGCCUUAGCACAAUGACUUCUCGGCUAUGUAAAACAAAGGUUUUCCCGUCGCCGGUAAGGAGGGGGUGACGGCGGCGCGCUUUUUGGCUUGCUCUAGUCCUAGUAGUCAUACUAGGUGGUCUAAGCAUGUGUAGAUUUAUUCUUUUUCACGUCUCGUGUUCGCCGUACUGCCAUGACUGUUGUUGAAUAGACGGUAAGUUAUUCACGGGGAAACCCUUGUUGAGCGUGUUUGCGAGAGAGAGAGAGAGAGAGAGAGAGAGAGAGAUAGUGUGCGUGUGUGAUAUGUCUAGAGACUGAGGCAAUGAUAAGAGAUUCUUUCUGUCUAUGUGUGUGGAGGAUAGAGAGAGACAUGUACAUGGGGCUUUGUGUUGUGUAACGUGGAGACACAUAUACAUAAUCAGAGAGUGAGUGUGUGAGAUACACAUGCGGACAUGGGGAGAGAUGAGGAUCCAGAUAAAUGGGUGUUUGUACGUGUCUAUGUGUGUUUGUGCGCGCGUUUUUGUGUGAGAGGGAGUGUGUGUAUAUGGAGUAGAGAGACCACUAAUAAUGUAAACAUAGUAUAAGGGAAGGGGGAAUGGUGUGACAUGUGUAGUAGCAGGAUAGCAUGGGUGCGGGCGGGGGGAGCAGACUAUUUGGAAGAGACAUCGAGUGUGUGUGGGAGAGGGGUGUGAGAGCGAGCGAGAGAGAGAGAGCUAGCGACAGAGAGAGAGCGAGGGGAAGAGAGGGGUCGUUUGUGUCCAUAAAUGGCGUAUAGAUAGAGAGACAAUGUUGAUGUUGUUCGAAAUUGGCCUAUGUACGGAGACGCAAGGGAAGCGAGUCAUCGUGUGUGUGAUAGGGACUUCAUGAGAGAUCUAGAAUAGAUGGUGUAGAGAACAAUGUGCGAGAUUGAGAACGAUGAUACAUUAGGGAGCUAUGGAAAGAGUCACGACAUAUAUGUAUACAGGGAAGGAGCUAGGGCGGGUCCGCAUGUGGGAGAGAUAGAAAGAGGAGAGUGGUGCACAAGGAGACAAAGUGUGCUUGUUUGCAGUGGGGGUGGUGUGUGAGGUGAGUGUGCGAGAACCACAUAACUAGGGAGACAGACGUUUGGGGGCGACGUUUUGUGUGUAUCGGAAAGAUACACUCUACAUAGUGUGUGCGUGCUUGGGAAAGAGAGAUGCCAGGAGACCUAGAGAGUGGGGGAAGAGAUGUGUGCAUGCCCGAGAGACAAAGUGAUAGAGACCUAUAUUGGGUUCCAGACUUUAGAAGAGAGAGGGGUGUUAGUGUGCUGGUUUGUUCGUGUCUGGGGGAGAGAACGACUUCUGUGUGUGGGGGGCGAGGGGAGGGUUGGCUUCAGAUAAAGAGUGAGGUGUAUAUUUGAGGGACUUUAGCGUAAUUGAGAUAUAUAUGGUCAAUAGUAUGUGCACUCAUGGUUGAUCAAUUUGUUUCGCAGUUUGGACUAUGAGAUAACGAUACUUUUGAACAUGCGUGGUAUACCUUCAUGUACCAGUAUUACAAACCUAAGAUUGGAAUUUUGGAAUUCGACCCCUUUUGUAAUUCAUUUAAACGGAGGUACAUUUUUUAAGCCGGGAUUUCAUGAUUUCAAAUUCAUAUAUCAAACCUAGAGAUAUACACAUACGUGCAUGUUCAAACUUUAUAAUCAUCCACUUUAUUCAUACACAUACACAUUUUUGCUUUUGUCAUCAUAUUUAGGAUAAACACAUUUGGAAUUUCAUUUGAAUUGGACCGUAUGAUGGUAUUUGCUUGUACUAGAUCAAUGAUCCAUAUUUGAAUUGAAUGGACAAUCUAAGUUUCGAGUUGGAGACAUUGAUUUUCAAAACUUGCACUUUUUUGCGUGCAAAACAAACAAAUUCUCAGCCAUGAUAUCAUAGUCGGUCGUACAAGAGCAGAAUAUAAUUUCAGUCGCCAAAAGCUUUCAAACUUCCCGCUCACAUCAAAAUAUCUCGCACCCGAAAGUUUAGCCAUGCGAUAUUCCUGUUUUACCCCUGGCACAUGAACGGAAAACGGCUGCUUUGGUAACUCCAUUGUUUUCCCCUCUUUGCCCCCAACAUUCUUCCCCAGAGCCCCUCCCCUUCCCCUCCCCGACCCCCCGCCCCCCGCCAACCACGACAAGCAGCCGGAUCUAGUCCUCCGCCGCAGUAGUGGACCUCACACCCCGCCGGAUCUACCUUCCGCACCUUGGAACCCCCAACUACCAACUCACCACUUCACCGGAGCCGCUUCAGCGACUGGCUUGUCCACCGCUCCAGAUCUCCUUGACCGCCAUCAUGGUCCACCGCACCGAAUCUGCUUAACCGGCGCCCUCCUCCACCAUAGUGUAAGCCUUUCACUGAGUCCCUCGUCUGUCCCCAUCGCUGGCCCUUCAUACAAGCCCUCGUCCUCCGCAACAGAUCCGUCUCACCGAAAGCACUGUACAACGCGCCCGACGAAGCCUUCGUCCACUGCACCGGACCCGCUCCACGGACGUCAUAUUCAACUCCACCGGCCCUGCUUUAUCGACCCCGCAGCCUCAUCAGGUUAUUUCGAUUUGUACUCCUUCGGUUUUUCUCUUUAUCGUGCAACUGUUCACUUACCACAGAUGAGCUUUCUUGUAUGUCGACAGGCGCCGCAACCGUAGCACCGGAGCCUCUUCAGCGACGGCGACAGCCAGCCCAAACUUAAAAGCAACACGAGCACCAUCGACGAUCCUUAGCUAUCAAGUAUGACAACGAUACCCAUGCGCCGCCGAGAAUCAUGUACUAUUAUCCAACGACCAGCGCCUACGUUCACUUUUUUAGCAUAAGCACCGCACCUUUGAAUUUCUUCAGGGCAUCAUUCAAUUUUUCAUGAGACGCGUUCUGCUUGCACCUGUAGGGCCAUACUUCCGGCAGUGAACAUGUUACAUGUGCUAAAUUACAUACUAGUGCACAUAUAGUUAAUAUGCUUUAGUUUUGUCCUAAGUAUUACCGUACUUCCUAGAUAUCACUGCCUACUAUUUUACUUCUUGCAUGCUAUAUUUAUGAUAAUGGUGUUGUUCUGAUGCCACCUGUUGGUUCUAUCAGACUACUUCAUGUUCUCUAUGCUUAAUUACACAUCAGCAAACUAGCAUGUGGUUCCGCUGCUUUUUGUUCGUUUUACCCUACAUUUUCUGAUGCUAGCUAUUACAUCACUGCUCCGAGCCUCUGUUCAUUACUUCUUUGUGUGUUCUUGAUCUUCCCAAGUUGCAUGACUAAUUUGAUGCUUCUAUUAAUUAUGGAGCUGUCAAAAUAUUUGUUCUUUUGGGGCCACACUGUUAAGUGCUUUCUCAGAUUAUUUCAACUCCUUAACAGUGCCCUUCUUUCAUUAAAUAGAGGGAAGCAGAUAUAUUGUCGUGUAUGCACACACCCUUCUUUCAUUAGUUUAGAUGAACCAUUGAUGAUCAAUUCGGACCAGUGCAUGCGAUUAAAAUUAAUUUUACCUAAAUAGAGGGUGCAGAAUAAACUACAACAACUAGAUUUGCAACCACGGGAUGCUGACGAUAUAUCUUCAAAGAACAUUGCAACAGCAGCGAGGCUUCACAGCAACAUAUGGUAAGCCAGUGUGUUUUAGUACAUGUGAAAUGUAACGCGAGUGGGCUGCUUUCUUGGCUUGUUCCCUCAACCUGUAAUCCUACAGAAUUACAAAUAGUUCAGUUGUCUGCUUUGCUGUAUUGCUUGAUUCGAAUGCUUGUUAGUUACUUGUUACACUAUACCUGAGUUGGCCAAUAUGUCAGCAGUGCCUGCUGUACUAUCGUAAAGAAAUGCAUGCCUAGUUCAUUUGAGUCCUUAACUUUUCCUCUGAACUUCAUCACAAGAAGUCUUCGUAGUUUAUAUGAGGCCACACUAUUAAGUGCUUUCUCAGAUUAUUUCAACAGCUUAGAUGCCUUGGCAACUUAAAUAUAGCGGUGGUACACUCCCUUUCAACUAGGGAUGUCAACUAGGUCCUGUUUAAUCCCGAUUAAAGUCCACUAGUGGUAUGAUAGUUCAAAAGAGUUUUUGUUUUUUGAGGAAAAUGAACUAGGGAGCUAGCAAAAACUAACUAGAUGGGACUGGCGAAUGUCGUUUAUUUGCCACUUAAAUCCCUAGUUUCAUCUUACCAUUUUAAUUUCUUUUUGACUGAUGCUGCUUCAAACCAUUUAAAUAUAGCUUGCCAUGCUCGGCAAUAAUUCGUAUGUUGUUUACCAUGUAAGCUUACUGCCUGGAUCAUGCGAUAAGUAUCUCUUACUUAUGUCCAGCGGAAACCUUUCAGGAUGCCGUUCACACUAGGACACAAUGUACAACCCCAGAAUCUAUUUGUGGAAGCAGUGCGCCAUCCAUGUUACCAGAUGAUAGUAGUUCAGAGGCAACACUGCUGGAGAGCAGUCUGAGCACAGAUAUUAUAGUUCUUGAGGCUCUACUAGAGGCAGAAAGAGUUGGUGUGGCUGCCAUGAAUGAGGUAAUCUUUAGCUUGAGGCUGGAAAUUAUGCAAUUAGCGGCACGCAUUAUGCAAGCAACCCAAGAAUUGGAGGAAGUAAUAAUGUUGCAUUUGAAGACGGAGGAGGUCCUUCUGUUUCUGCUAUCUGAAGCCCAGGGUAAUCCCGGAGCUUCUUUAGAUACCAGUUGAAAUUGUCAUUAGAUUAUUGUACUUUCAUGUUGUGUCAUGUCUCUGAAUGGAUUAUGUUGUAAGACUCCCUAUGUUGUCCAUGUGCUGUAAUGAUCCGAAUUUUUUAGGCGAGGUAAUCCUCAGUACUUGUAUGAUUGACAUAAGGUGAACUGUUUUUCGUGUGAGCAUAUUGUAUUGGAUGAAAUAACUAUUUGACUCAAAGUGUAUCCAACCUACUGAAUUCGAAGAUCACGGCAUUUCUAAAUCAUAAUCAUAUAUAAAGGUGGAAUAAAUCUUUGUUGUGGUUUUGAAGAAAUAAAUAACAAAACGUAGAAUUAUCAGUGGAUAUUCGUAAUCAAAUACAAAUUGGAUUUGAAUUUAGUUGCCAGGGCCCAGGGCAAACGUGAAUGCUAAUUCUCCCAAGUUUUGAACGAAGCGGCUAAACACCCACUAUAAUUUGUGGGCUGCCCAAAGCAAGUGUUUGAGAGAUGAAAAUUACCGUCUACCCCUGACACUCAACAUCCUUAUCGACCAGAUUUACACUGCUGUCGAUAGGGGUAGACUAGUAACUUCAAUCAGACAUGACACGACAGCCUGUGAGCCCAUUCGGACACGGUGGGUGCCAAACAUGGGCGGAAAAACACAUUUGAUUCAAGCUCGUCCGAAAGACAUGUGUCUCUCCCUCCAUUUCCCCAUUCAUACACGGUGGGCGGCAAAACAAACUCUCCUCGUCCGAAAUCGAUGUAGGCUAAUAUUUUAAAUAGGGGUAGAUGUGUAACUUCCCUCAGACGUGACACAACCGCCCUACCUGUCAGCCCUGUUCAUACACCGUGGCGCCAACUAUGGGUGGCAAAACACCCUCUCCUUGCCCGAAAUCGUUACCGACAAAUAUUUGGAAGAUGCGAGAUUACCGUCCUAUCGUCCUAUCCCCAACCGACGUGAUGUCCGAAAUUUUAAACGGGGGAUAAGUUCGUAACUUUCCCACAUUUCAGAGAAGCGCGUCCCAAAGUUUGAGAUCCCCCCUCCCCCUCCAUUUCCCCAUUCAUACACCUUCGGCGCCACGACAACCUCCCCACUGCGGCCAGCCUCCUCCGUCCACCACCCCAUCCUCCAUCUUGCCAGAGCCGCUACCCCUACCCCGUCGUCCACUGCAAGAGAUGGACGUCUCUCAUCCACGGUGCUGGACCAGGAUCCAUUCAUCACGUCCUCUCGCUUCAUCGGCGCCGUCGUCCACCUUGUCGUUGCCGCUCCAACGACCGCCUCGUCCACGGCAACAGGAUUUAUCCCCCGACCCGGCCGUCUGCCGUCUAAAGUCUUCUUCCCCGCCACCGACAGCCAUCGCACCCGCAGCACCCUCAACGUAUCAGAAGAGGCCUACACGGCAUCGCAAGAGAGGUGGUACUCUUCCAUAUGUGCUUAAGUUAUUGAUCUCACCCGGAAAAUAGAUCAUAAUUUGUUUACUGUACUUUUCUUGUACGUACCAAAUCGUAGUGGCUAGUUGAAAGCAAACAUUGGUUGCGAAGUAGCUUUGUCCGGUUUGCACCUUCAGAUCCGCCAUGGCACGGGCACUAUACUCGUAAAGCUUAUGGUUUCCCCCCUUUAUAUUCCUUACCAUCAUCGUAGGUGCUUCGUGUCGUGCUAGCACUGCUCCUCAAGACCUCAACCCAAAGUUUACGUGUUGAAAUGCGUAUCUGAUAUGAUGCUCAUAUCACUAAAACAAAGAACGUUUAAUUGGUCACCUAAUGUUCCUAUAUUCAUUUCGAAAAGCAUGUGCGCCACCCACUGGUCCAGCUAGUUCCACUUUCCUGAUUUUACUCUUGAUACUUAGGGUUUUCCCCUUUUAUCUACUCUACUAUGAUCUGCGUAGGUGCUUUCUGUCGUACCAGCAUUACUCCACCCUUCAAGCUAAACAACACAACACUCAAAAUUCCAAAGCUUAGUUGUUCAAAUAUGAUUGUGAUAUGAUACUGAUAUUAGUUAGCAGACACAUUUAAUUGGUUAGCUAAAGGUCCCACUUGAGUUUCCAAAUGCAUGUCCCGACAUAUAGAGAGACAGUAGAAUUGCAUUUCUUUGUCACUUGUUGACGGUACUUUCUUGUCCAUACCAAAUCUUAGUUGUUAUUUCAAAGCAAACAUCGGUUGCUAACUACCCUUUGCGCAGUUUGCAGCUUCAGAUCUGCCAUCCCACUGCCACGGUCAACACUAUACUCAUCAUGCUUACGGUUUCCCCAUUUUAUGAUGACCACGAUCAGACUACGUGGUUCGUGUCAUAAUAGCACUGCUCCACCCAUCGAGCUAAACAAGCUUAGUUGUACAAAUUCAAAUCUGAUAUUAUGCUGAUAUUAGUAAAACUGAGAGAUGUUUAAUUGGUCAGCUAAAUGUUCCUACUUUAGUUUCGAAAUGCAUGUGAGCCACAUAUGGAGAGACCGGAAGGAAUAGUAUUUCUCUGUGCGCUCUGGUUCAUCAUGGGUGGCCAACCGACAUUGUAUUGAAAGACUUGUAAUAUCUUCAAUCUUCUUGCUCUUCUGCUCUUCUUUAAGAUGAUCCUCUUCUCUUGCGGACGACUGGUCAGGUCGAGUUGUUCUCCCUUAGUAUAUUUUAAAUCUGUCAGGUCAGGCCGACUUGUUCGUCUUUAUUAUAUGUUGAAGUUGUCAUCUGUGAAGUGUCAUCACUUCUAGAGCUCUCAUAUUUUGAGUAGUAGGGCACAUUAUAUUAAUGCACACACCAAAUUACAGCAUGCAUGGCAUCUCUUAAAAGAAUUGCAGAGAUAGCACAAAGGGGUUUACAGGGAGGCAGUAUUGGAUUAGAACCACUUCUGCAUUACAAAGAUAAUCUCACUUGUUUUUAUGUUUUCAUGCAUGUCAGAUAUUGAACAUUAUCAAAAUGAAUAUGAGAAUGGGUGCACGAGAGGAAUAUUGCAGAAAAAUCCACUGGCUAACAAACCUGGCAUGGUGGAGGAUGGCCUAUCUUAUUCACCCAUCAAGGUGCUUGCUCUAACUUGGCAAGGUUGUAUUGGUCGCACAUAUUUUGCAUCUGACCUCUUGCAUUGCUUCUACUUUGUUACACCAUCUGCUUAGUUUAAGCAUCAUAUAUGAGUACAUGCCAUACCUAUCCAUUUUCUGUACCUAUUCCAUGUGUCAUCAUACUAUGUUUUUCCAGUCAAAUGUUGUUCUUUCGUAAUAGAUGUCCAAAAGGAAGAGGGUGAGUGCAGAUCCUCAAGGAGUACAUACUAGGUAUUUGGAAAAGCUAGUGAUACCUAUUAAAUCAGAUUGAUCAGCAGCCACAGAAAACACAGGCCCAACUGUACCACACUUUACCCCUACUCCAGUGGCCAAACCCCUAUUAGAACUGCUGAGAGCCCAGCGUUAGGUACUGUCUAUGAUAUCAAUUCAAAAUUUGAACUCCUAAAUUUCUGCAUGUGCCUUACCUUCUCUCUUGUAUGAAAACUAAUUUCAGAUGAAUCUCCUUGCUCAAAGGACCAUACGAUCUCACAACAAUACUGGGCUCUGCAUUGCUCUUGUCAGUACCUCUCGCCCUUUUGCCUUGUAACGCUGUACUUAAUUAAUUGCUAUUUGAUUAUGUAUCAUCAGUCUGCACCUGAGCUUCGUUAUCCUCUGUUUCUUCCAAUAUUAUAUGAUCUAUAUUUACUCUUUGCAAAAUGUAGAAUAAUGGCAACGCUUAUAAAGAAUUUUCUUUGGGGAAUUUAUUGAAUUAUCCUUCCAUCAACAUGGAGAAGGGCUUUGUCCAGCCCGUGUUAACAUGUAAUGUAAGUUCAUCCUUCUCAAGCCUUCAAACUUUGUUCUAGUAUAGAUUUGGAUAGGCAUCAUUUCCUCCACAUCUGUUUACUUUGCUGUUUACAUCUGAUUGGAUGUUCGCAACAACUACCAGUUUUAAAUUGUAGUUGUAAAAACAAGUUCCUUAUGCAGAACAGAUCCAUUUAUUUGCUUAUAUAAUUAUGAAACCUGUUACGUGUCUGCUUGUUUCUCUUUCAGAAUCGUAUCUCUUAUGUCAGGCAGAACUUUAGGGAAGAUAGUGAGCCAAACCAUCUUGAGGACAGCGAGAUGACCCCAAGGUCCUGUCUUGAUGAAGACAGUGAGUUGAAGCUACACACCAGCAGGUGUGAGACAGCCUCUGUGCAGUCGCUGCCUCAAUCAGUUCGACUUCUUCAGUCUUAACUUAAAGCGGAAAGGCUUGCUUCACCUCAGCUCCGACUUGAAGUCAAAGAUGUAAUGAAGAUGUCAGAGGACUGCCUUGCGCACUAUCGUGCCAUACAGCUAGGGAUGAAGCAUCUAUCGUUGACACAACUGAGGUCUAAUCAGCUUGUUCGGCUGUUUGCGGGGCCCGACCUGGCCAGGCCUAGUGCCUUCUGAAGUGCUCUCAGUUUUGCAUAUUCUUUUGUCGGCGCAUUUAUUUGCACUGGUGGCGAACUUUGAUGCCCAGUGGAUGUAAUAUGUGUAAUAGCCGUGAUAUCCUAGCUUAAGUUGCUUGCUUAUUUAUUUCCUUGUUGUCUUGUUUAUUUGUUUGCUUGUAGUCAGUGCAGUUCUUUUUCCGCGGUUUGCUAGUGGCCGCAAUAACCUAUUUUUUAAAACUAGGCCACAAUAACCAUGGGCUACAUAUUUACUGUAGUGACACUGGCCUCCUACGGGCCGUAGAAACAAUGGGCCUUCUACGGGCCGUAGACACAAUGGGCCUUCUACGGGUCGUAUCAUCAAUGGGCCUUAUGCGGGUCGUAUGAUCAAUUAGCCAAACAUGGGCCAAUAACAGACUGCAUUAUGGCCGUAAACGGGCUAGAGUUGGAAUCGUCCGUUCAUGGGCCGACCAUAAUGGGUCGUCGUUAAUAGGCCGUAUUUGAUGACGCUAUGAAAACGGCCCAACGUAUUAACGGGCCACAAACGGGCCGACUGUAACCACGGGCUGAAUUUGGCCCACAAGUAGAAAAUGACAGUAACGGGCCGUAAGUGACUGAAUGCUGGAAAUGAGCCCAAGAAUAAAUGGGCCCUGAGAAGGCCGAAAGAUAACAUGGGCUGCAAACGGCCCAAUGGAAUAAUGGGUCGUUAAUGGGUAUAAAGUGAUACACUGUUCAUUACGGGCCAGAUUCACUACGGGCCGUUAAUGGGCCAAGAGUUACAAAGGGCCUCAUAUGGGCCGAAAGAUGUCAUGGGCCAUACAUGGGCCGGAAGUUAAAAUAGGCUGGAAUCAUAUUGGAGGGCCCAGAUGACGCUACUGGGCCUAAUUCGGAUAGGUCAUAACGGGCCCUGGGUUAGAGGGCUAUAAAUGGGCUAUAUGCGAACAGGACGUUAACAGGCUUUCCGUGGGCCGGCCCGCCACCUUUUGACCAAGUCAAACGGGCCAGCCUUUUCACAGGAAUGGGCCUCUGUUGGGCCAUGCCACGUGUCGACGUAUCAUACGCGCCUUCGGUCCAAUGAGUGGAUGACAUCUAUCCCAACGGUGAGCCGACACGUGUUUCCUCCAGCCAAUGAUGAUUUUACACGUGGAAAAUCCCCAUUGGUCCGGGCUGUUAACGGGUUAUCGGAUCCAAAACCGGACCCGAUAGCUUAACGGUGUUCCGUUACGGUGGAUGCCACGUGUCGGUCACCUUUGACCAAAGCACUUCUGUGACGCGCGAUUUAUCGUCAUGGAAGUGGACACUUCCGUGAUGAUAAUUUUGGUAAUGUCAUGAACACUUCUACGAUAGCACAGGUAUGACUAUCUUGAUUCUGUCAUAAAAUCGUCAUGGAUGUACAUGCAUGAUAGAAAACGUGACCUACUGUGACAAACACGUAUCAUCACGGAAGUGUAAUUUUUUUUGUAGUGCAUGUCCUAUUAUUCUUGGUAGACCUUUCCUUAGAACGAUUGGUGCAAUUAUUGAUAUGAAAAAAGGAAACAUUAGAUUUCAAUUUCUGUUAAGGAAGGGCAUGGAACACUUUCCAAGAAAGAAAAUUAAGUUGCCAUAUGAAUCUAUUAUGAGGGCUACUUAUGGAUUGCAUACCAAAGAUGACAAUACCUAGACCCAUGUUUUAUGCCUAGCUAGGGGCGUUAAACAAUAGCGCUUGUUGGGAGGCAACCCAAUUUUGUUUUUAUGUUUUUUGCUUCUGGUUCUGUUUUUCAAUAAAUACACAUUAUUACUUUAGCAGUAAUUGUGUUCUGGUGUUUUAAUUAGUGUUUGAGCCAAGACCUUUAGGAUGGCUUAUGGUGAUAGUUGAUUUGAUCUUGCUGAAAAACAGAAACUUUUGCACCCAGUAAAAUAAUUUUCAAAAAUCACAUAAGCAUGAUUUUGGUCUGAACUUUUUACACAAGAUUUAUAUACAAAUUACCAAGGUUGUUCUAAUUUUUCAGAAUGUUUGGAGUUAGAGAAGUAUACUAAGUCUACAGAUUGCUACAGACUGUUCUAUUUUUGACAUAUUCUGUUUUCUAUGUGUUGUUUGCUUAUUUUAAUGAAUCUAUGGGUAGUAUCGGGGGGUACGAACCAUGGAGAAUUUGGAAUAUAAUAAAUAUUACACCAAUAUAAAUAAAGAAUGAGUUCACAACAUUACCAAAAAGUGGUGAUUUAUUUUCUUAUACUAACGGAUCUCAUGAAUUUUCUGUUGAGUUUUGUGUUGCGAAGUUUUCAAGUUUUGGGUAGAGAUUUGAUGGACUAUGGAAUGAGGAGUGGCAAGAGUCUAAGCUUGGGGAUGCCGAAGGCACCUCAAGGUAAUAUUCAAGGACAACCAAGCAUCUAAGCUUGGGGAUGCCCCAGAUGGCAUCCCCUCUUACGUCUUCAAUCCAUCGGUAAAUUUACUUGAGGCUAUAUUUUUAUUCACCACAUGAUAUUUUUUUGCUUGGAGCGUCUUGUAUGAGUCUUUGCUUUUUAGUUUGCCACAAUCAUCCUUGUUGUACACAUCUUUUGAGAGGGAUACGCAUUAAUCAUGAUUUAUUAGAAUACUCUAUGUGCUUCACUUAUAUCUUUUGAGCUAGGCAGUUUGCUCUAGUAUUUCACUUAUAUCUUUUUAGAGCACGGCGGUGGCUUUAUUUUAUAGAAAUUGUUGAACUCUCAUGCUUCACUUAUAUUAUUUUGAGAGUCUCUAAACAACAUGGCAAUUUUCUUAGGUUAUGAAUUUAGUCCUAAUAUGAUGGAGAUCCAAGAGGGAUAUAAUAAAAAAUUCAUAUAAAGAGCAUUGAAUACUAUGAGAAGUUUGAUUCCUUGCAUUUGUUUUGAGAUAUAAAGAUGGUGAUAUUAGAGUCAUGCUAGUGAGUAAUUGUGGAUUGGUAGAAAUACUUGUGUUAAACUUUUUGAUUCCCGUAGCAUGCACGUAUGGUGCACCGUUAUGUGAUGAAGUCGGAGCAUGAUUUAUUUAUUGGUUGUCUUCCUUAUGAGUGGCGGUCGGGGACGAGCGAUGGUCUUUUCCUACCAAUCUAUCCCCCUAGGAGCAUGCGUGUAGUACUUUGUUUCUAUAGCUAAUAAAUUUUUGCAAUAAGUAUGUGAGUUCUUUAUGACUAAUGUUGAGUCCAUGGACUAUACGCACUCUCACCCUUCCACCAUUGCUAGCCUCUCUAGUACCGCGCAAUUCUCGCCGGUGCAUUAAACCCACCGUAUACCUUCCUCAAAACAGCCACCAUACCUACCUAUUAUGGCAUUUCCAUAGCCAUUCCGAGAUAUAUUGCCAUGCAACUUCCAUUGUUCCGUUUAUUAUGACAUGCUUCAUCAUUGUCAUAUUGCUUUGCAUGAUCAUGUAGUUGGCAUUGUAUUUGUGGCAAGGCCACCAUUCAUAUUUUUUAUACAUGUCACUCUUGAUCAUUGCACAUCCCAGAACACCGUCGGAGGCAUUCAUAUAGAGUCAUAUUUUUGAGUUGUAAGUAAAUAGAAGUGUGAUGAUCAUCAUUAUUAGAGCAUUGUCCCAUGUGAGGAAAGGAUGAUGGAAGCUAUGAUUCCCUCACAAGUUGGGAUGAGUUUCCAGACUUCACAAAAAAUAAAAGAGGCCAAAGAAGCCCAAACAAAUAAAAUGAGAGAAAAGAGAGAAGGGACAAUGUUACUAUCCUUUUACCACACUUGUGCUUUAAAGUAGCACCAUGAUCUUCAUGAUAGAGAGUCUCCUAUUUUGUCAUUUUCAUAUACUAGUGGGAAUUUUUCAUUAUAGAACUUGGCUUGUGUAUUCCAAUGAUGGGCUUCGUCAAAUUGCCCUAGGUCUUCGUGAGCAAGCGAGUUGGAUGCACACUCACUUAGUUUCUUUUUUAGCUUUCGUACACUUAUAGCUCUAGUGCAUCCGUUUCAUGACAAUCCCUACUCACUCACAUUGAUAUCUAUUGAUGGGCAUCUACAUAGCCUGCUAAUACGCCUAGUUGAUGUGAGACUUUCUCCUUCUUUUGUCUUCCCCACAACCACCAUAUUCUAUUCCACCUACAUAUAGUGUUAUAUCCAUGACUCACGCUCAUGUAUUGCGUGAAAGUUGAAAAAGUUUGAGAACACCAAAAAGUAUGAAACAAUUUCUUGGCUUGUCAUCGGGGUUGUGCAUGAUUAAAUACUUUGUGUGAUGAAGAUGGAGCAUAGCCAGACUAUAUGAUUUAUUAGGCAUAACUUUCUUUGGCCAUGUUAUUUUGAGAAGACAUGAUUGCUUUAUUAGUAUGCUUGAAGUAUUAUUGUUUUUAUGUCAAUAUUAAACUUUUGUUUUAAAUCUUAUGGAUCUGAAUAUUCAUGCCACAAUAAAGAAGAUUACAUGGAUAAAUAUGUUAGGUAGCAUUCCACAUCAAAAUUCUGUUUUUAUCAUUUACCUACUCGAGGACGAGUAGGAAUUAAGCUUGGGGAUGCUUGAUACGUCUCCAACGUAUCUAUAAUUUUUGAUUGUUCUAUGUUAUUAUAUUAUCUGUUUUGGAUGUUUUUUAUAUGCAUUAAUAUGCUAUUUUAUAUUAUUUUUGGGACUAACCUAUUAACCUAGAGCCUAGUGCCAGUUUCUGUUUUUUCUUUUUUUUUGAGUUUUACAGAAAAGGAAUAUCAAACGGAGUCGAAACGGAAUAAAACUUUCGCGAUGAUUUUUCUUGAACCAGAAGACACCCGGAAGACUUGGGGAGAGGGCCACAAGUCCCGAGGGAACCACAAGCCCUCAGGGCGCGCCCUAGGGGGGUGGGCGCACCCUAGGGGGCGGGCCCCUGGCUUGUGGGCCCCUCGGGAGUCCACCGACCUCCAUCUCAGCUCUAUAAAUUCUAAAAUAUUCCCAAAACCACCAGAAGCGUCCACCAAAAUACUUUUCCGACAUAACCUUCUGUUCCCAUGAGAUCUCAUCUUGGGGCCUUUUCCGGCACCCUGCUGGAGGGGGAUUCGAUCAUGGAGGACUUCUACAUCAACCCUAUUAACCUUUCGAUGAAGCGUGAGUAGUUUACCAUAGACCUACGGGUCCAUAGCUAGAUGGCUUCUUCUCUCUCUUUGAUCUUCAAUACAAUGUUCUCCUUGAUAUUCUUGGAGUUCUAUCUGAUGUAAUAUUCUUUUGCGGUGUGUUUGUCGAGAUCCGAUGAAUUGUGGAUUUAUGAUCAGAUUAUCUAUGAAUAUUAUUUGAUUCUCUUCUGAAUUCUUAUAUGCAUGAUUUGAUAUCUCUGUAUUUCUCUUCAAAUUAUCGGUUUGGUUUGGCCAACUAGAUUGGUUCUUCUUGCAAUGGGAGAGGUGCUUAGUUUUGGGCUCAAUCUUGCGGUGUCCUCACCCAGUGCAAAGUAGGGGUAGCGAGGCACGUAUUGUAUUGUUGCCAUUAAGGAUAAAAAGAUGGGGUUUUCAUCAUAUUGCUUGAGUUUAUCCCUCUAGAUCAUGUCAUCUUACUUAAGGCGUUACUCCGUUCUUAUGAACUUAAUACUCUAGAUGCAUGUUGGAUAGCGGUCGAUGUGUGGAGUAAUAGUAGUAGAUGCAGGCAGGAGUCGGUCUACUUGACAUGGACAUGAUGCCUAUAUUCAUAAUCAUGGCCUUGGAUAUCAUCAUAACUUUGCGCUUUUUUAUCGAUUGCUCGACAGUAAUUUGGUCACCCACCGUAUGUUUUCUUUCAAGAGAGAAGCCUCUAGUGAAACCUAUGGCCCCCGGUCUAUUUUCCAUCAUAUAUUUUCAGAUCUAUAAACCAAAAAACCCAAAAAUACCUUGUUGCAAUUUAUUUACUUUUAUUUUUUUAUGUUUUAGUAAUCUUUUAUAUCCAUCUCUAUCAGAUCUCAUCCUCGCAAGUGACCGUGAAGGGAUUGACAACCCCUUUAUCGCGUUGGGUGCAAGUGUUCGAUUGUUUGUGCAGGUGCAUAGAUUGGAACUUGCGCGUACCUCCUACUGGAUUGAUACCUUGGUUCUCAAACUGAGGGAAAUACUUAUCUCUACUUUGCUGCAUCACCCUUUCCUCUUCAAGGGAAAAACCAACGCAAGCUAAGAAGUAGCACCAGCAGAGCUAGCCGAAGCCCGGAGGAGACGGGUAUAGUAGUAGCCGUGUGCUGGAGCAGGGCACAUGUGCAGCACAGACGUAGGGUACGAGAGCACGGAGUUGUGACCUGGGAAUAGUCAAGACGAUCGAGAGCCGGGGUUGCAAGUCUUAAAGUACUCUUAUUAUCUGACGCCUCACACGGUGUAAACUGUGAUGGGGAAAAAGUAGUGCUAAUAAGUUGUCAGUAAUAAUUAAUGACUGCAUGAUUUCCUACAUUGAAGGAAAAUGUUGUGGCGCCAUUGUCUUCCGAUCUAGGGUUUCCCCUGGUGCUCCGAGUGUCCCCAGUGCUGGAUUCGUGGUUACGUUGGUUUGGACUGCCUCUCUAGUUAGUGGGCUUAGCUGUGUCUUUUGCUUGUUUGGGCAAAGCACCUUGUCUCUCUUAUUUUCUAUUUUGGGCACCGUGUACACGCCUUGCGUUCGUGCAUGUGUCGUGUCUCACUUGUACUCAUUCUCUCUUCUUCUAUCAAUAAAAAGAUACGUUGGGGUUCCAAAAAACUACCGGUUUUUAUUUUUUCACUAAUAACUACCAACUUUGGGGUUCGCUAUUUCAAAAACCCCCAAAUAACUGAGUGUUUAAAUUUUAAACCGUUUGUUUGACACCUGUGGCCCACCCGUCAGGUCCACAUGGCAUAAAAGUCAACACUGAUAGGUUGACCGUUCAUUGGUUAUGACAGGUGGGGCCCCAAUAUUUAUAAAAAGCAAUUGCGUCCCUAUAUUUUUCAAAAAAGUAAUCAGGUCCAUGUAAUUUCCUUUAAAAAGCGACCAGGUCCUUGUAAAGAAAGGAAAAAAGCAAUCAGGUCCCUGGGCCGAUCCGUCUUGACCUCUCUCCCGCAACCUGUCGCCGUCCUCUCCCUAGAAUCGUCGCCCACUCCCCUCCAUCCCCUCCCCAGCCGGUGACCUGAGGAGGCCAAGCUCCAGGACAUUGACUAGGGGUGCGUGAUAACCCACAAGUAGAUUGCAACAGUUUUCGAGGGUAGAGUAUUCAACCCAAAUUUAUUGAUUCGACACAAGGGAAGCCAAAGAAUAUUCUCAAGUAUUAGCAGUUGAGUUGUCAAUUCAACCACACCUAAAAGACUUAAUAUCUGCAGCAAAGUAUUUAGUAGCAAAGUAGUAUGGAAGUAACGAUAACGGUGGCAAAAGUAACAGUAGCAGUUUUGUAGCAAUCAUAAUAGUGGCAAUGGAAAAGUAACGGAGCAAAGAUCAAUAUGAAACGAGCUCCUAGGUAGUGGAUCAAUGAUGGAUAAUUAUGUCGGAUGGCAUUCGUCAUGCAACAGUUAUAACAUAAGGUGACACAGAACUACACUACUAGGGAAAACCUUAUACACAGCAUCUUAGCAGUAGCAUUGGACAAAACAGGGCGCUACUGCUACUUAGUAUAGUAGCGAGUUUAUAUAAACCACGCUACUACUACUACUUUAGCAGUAGCGCAUUCUGCUAAAGCGCGCUGCUUCUAUACUUGUACUGGGCGCAGAUGGCUAGCCCCACUUAGCAGUAGCGCGAAUGCCUGACCAGCACUACUGCUACGUUCCUUAGCAGUAGCGCGUUUCCCUGAAAUGCGCUACUACUUACUUACCUUAUCCUAGAGCGGCUCACUGCACCCUCUCACUCACUCUCUCCCUCUCACUCGCUCUCGCCCGCACCGAACCCGUUGUUUGCCGCCGCCGCGCUGCUCCUCGCCGAGGUACUCCCUCCUCCCCCCUCCUCCUCCGGCCGCCCUCCUCCCACCGCCCCUCCCUCCUCCUCCUCCGGCCGCCCUCUCCCCCCUCCUCCUCCNNNNNNNNNNNNNNNNNNNNNNNNNNNNNNNNNNNNNNNNNNNNNNNNNNNNNNNNNNNNNNNNNNNNNNNNNNNNNNNNNNNNNNNNNNNNNNNNNNNNNNNNNNNNNNNNNNNNNNNNNNNNNNNNNNNNNNNNNNNNNNNNNNNNNNNNNNNNNNNNNNNNNNNNNNNNNNNNNNNNNNNNNNNNNNNNNNNNNNNNNNNNNNNNNNNNNNNNNNNNGGCCUCCUCCCCCUCCUCCUCUCUCCUUCUUCCUCCUCCCUCCAUCUCUUUUUUUCUGUUUUUUACUAUUGUAUAAUGUAGUUUUUUACUGUUUUUAGUAAGUGUUUAAAAUAAUUAGUAAGUAAAUUAAUAAACUAGUUGAACUAGUUUGGUUUUAGUAAGAACUAGUUGAAUUAAUAGAACUAAUGUAUUUUUAGUAAGAAAAUUAAUAUAACUAGUUGAACUAGUUUAUUUUUAGAAAGAACUAGUUUAUUUCUAUUUAUAGUAAGUUUAUUUUUAGUAAGAACUAGUUGAAUUAAUAGAACUAGUUGAACAUGUCACAUUUGUUGUUAUUUUUUUAGUUUAAGCAAUUAUUCCCGGAUCGACGUCAAUCGACGUCGACGAUGCCUAUCCCGCAUCCUCGUUGUCGAUACCCGUCGUUCGCUAGGGUUUUAGUUGUAUUAGUGAUGUUAUAUGUAUGAUACUAUUCGGGAUCUAUUAGUGAUAACUUAUAGGGUUUUUGUUUUUGCAGAUAUCAAGGAGCCCCUCCAUCAUCCCCGUCGUCGUCCCCGUCACCGACCCCCUCCGACCUCGAGGUGAGACCAGCCAAAUCUCCAUGUCAAUAUGAGUCCUAUAAGAUAUGAUGUAGAUAAAAACAUGUAUAUCUUGUGUUGCUCAAAUAGGAUAUGUGGUUGCCCAAGUGGCCGGUCAUGUUUGCAGGUUACACCUCCGAGUGGCCUAUGUUUUUCCGUAGUGUUGAUUAAUUUCCGCUCGGGCAAAUUUCAGGCGCUCGAUAUGUCCUGUUUUAGCAAAGGUCAUGCUGGAAUUUUCCGUGAAUUUUGGCAUGACUUGUGCUAGAAUAUGUAGGAAAUAUCGAGUGGCCUGGAUUUUCUAGAAAGAUAAUUAAACGAUAUUUCGGGUUGACUUUAAGACUGUCGAGGCCGAAGAAUCCCGACUGUUGUCGUGGGGGUCGUUUCUCCUUCUUCUCCGGGUGCUAGACCUUUGUUAUGCACUAGGGGAAGGAGGAGUAACGACCAUCACCGACGGUCACAAAUGUCAGAGAGGGAAUCAGUGAGGGAGAGUAUCCACCAUAUAUGAGAGGACGAAGAAUCCCGAGUGUUGUCGUGGGGGUAGCUUCUCCUUCGUUCCCAUGUGCUAGACAAUUUGGUGUAAUGCACUCGGGAACAAAAGGAGGAGCUACCAUCACCGACGGUCGAAUAUAUACACCACGUGAGCUGAGAGUUUUCAAGAAAAGACUCGAGAGACCCAUAGUCAACCCGUGAUGAAUAAUAAUGAUCUAAUUUAGUUUUUGUAGUACAUAUAUUUAAUUGUACAAGUUUAAUCUUUGAAUUAUGAACAUAGAAAAUGUCAUCGGACGAAGAAGGUCCCGGGGAGUGCUCCUAGUGCGGCGACAACCGGGGUUUCUGCGACAGGCCUCACCUGGACGAAGGUCGGCGCUUCAGCAUUAAGCUCGAGGAGGCCUUCGAUUGUGAAACGGUACGCUACGACGCCAAGUGUUUUUUUCAUAAUUAAGCUCGACUUCUACUACUUCAACGUGUAAUUUUCGUCUUUUACAAUUCGACUAGCUUAUCCCAUGCCAUGCAAGACGCUAUGUCUUGGAGAGGAUGGGUUUUGAAGAUCAUGAGAGGAAUGAAACAAAGAAAAUUAACCUAAGGACCCAUCAUGGUAUGGAUUUUGAGGUAAAUCUAUACAAUUCUGAGAGCGUAUCCAAUUUUGGUUCCCCGGGUUGGGAAGCACUUUGCAAGAUGUAUGAUUUUCAAGAGGGUAUGUUUGUCACCAUGGAUCUUGGUGAUCCUGACAUCGACCAAGACAAUUUGGACAUUUGGGUUCUUGUUGAUACGCUUCCAAUUCUACCGCUAUGUGAGUUCCUCAAACAUAGUUAUUAAGUAAUUUAUAUUGUUUAUUUCAAAAUAGUUGACAGCUUAUUUCCAUUGAUAGCUUAUUUUCAUUCUUCAAAGAGUGUGCGGAAGAUGGUAGACAGAACCAACUACACCGAUGGCUCUGAGUUAACUUAUCAAGAGAAAAAUCAUCUGGUCGCAUAUUGUACUGAAAUUGAGAAUUACAAUGCCUUUUAUCGAACUCCUCCAAAUUAUGGUGAAUACGUGCCACUAGUGCACGUGUUGAACCAUGAUAACUUCCAUGGAGAUAUCCUGGUAAGAUUUUUUACUAUUACGACAUUCAUGCAUCUUUUCCAUACUUCUAAAACUGAACUACAUUGCUGACUACGAAGUUAUCACUAUGUUUUUCAACAGAAAAUCCCGAUGGAUUGUGUGCCUCGUUUGAUGUAUCAGAAUGGUCGCCUUGAUGUUUUGAACAUACAGCCAGGUCGUCCUACGAAUCUCACCUGUGCAUACCGGAUUUCUAAAAACGGUGAACGCAUGAUAAUCAAAGAAUGGAAGAAAUGUAUGGACAGUCGUAAGGAGGUUCUUGGAAGCAACAUUGUGCGAAAGGCAAGAAUUGGAGACAGGAUAAUCUCCAUUCUCCAUAAUGGAGAGUCAGGGGCUAUCUUGUUUUAUGCUAUUUUACCUAAGAUAAUAUAGUAGGUCCUAAGAGAAUGUAGUAGGUCCUAUGAGGUACAAUAUGUUUAUGAGAGUUGAUGAUGAUGAGUAAUUGUGAUUAUGUCUAGUGACCAACUUGUAUGUGAUGUCUCAUUGAUGAAAACGAUGAUCAUGAGGAGAUGUUAUAUGACAAUGAUGUAUUAUGAUGAUAAGUUGUUAAUGAUAUGAUGAUGACGAUGAUAUUUAUUAUAUCAUUGGGUGAAAGAACCGCGGAUUAGUUUCAAGUGGAUGUAAUAACUCAUUAUGAUGUAAUAACUAGUUCACGGUUCUUUCUCCCACUGAUGUAAUAACUCAUUAUGAUGUAAAAUCAUUCUCUAAAUUGCUGCAGUAUGAAAACUUGUAUAAAGGUGUAUGAAUACAACAUGAAAUAAAAAAGAAAUACAGAAUAAUAGUAGUAGCGCGUGCUAGGAGAAGCGCUACUACUAAUUACCAGUAGCGCUCAUAUUGGAACGCGCUGCUACUAAGUCGAUAUAGCAGUAGCGUGGUCCAACCGACACUGCUGCUAACCUUUAGCUGUAGCACCUUACUAGUAGCGCGGUACCCCGCGCUACUGAUAGGCUUUAAACACGCGCUACUGCUAGGGUUUUCCCUAGUAGUGCUAGCUUCAGUUCAUCAAUAUAAUGUAGGCAUGUAUUCCGAAUAUAGUCAUAAGUGCUUAUGGAAAAGAACUUGCAUGACAUCUUUUGUCCUACCCUCCCGUGGCAGCGGGGUCCGAAUGAAAACUAAGCGAUAUUAAGGCCUCAUUUUAGUAGAGAACCGGACCAAAGCAUUAGCACUUAGUGAAUACAUGAACUCCUCAAACUACGGCCAUCACCAGGAAGUGUCCCGACUAUUGUCACUCCGGGGUUGCCGGAUCAUAACACGUAGUAGGUGACUAUAAUUUGCAAGAUAGGAUCAAGAACACUCAUAUAUUCAUGAAAACAUAAUAGGUUCGAAUCUGAAAUCAUGGCACUCGGGCCCUAGUGACAAGCAUUAAGCAUGGCAAAGUCAUAGCAACAUCAAUCUUAGAACAUAAUGGAUACUAGGGAUCAAACCCUAACAAAAAUAACUCGAUUACAUGGUAAAUCUCAUCCAACCCAUCACCGUCCAGCAAGCCUACGAUGGGCUACGACGGGAUUACUCACGCACGGCGGUGAGAAUCAUGAAAUUGGUGAUGGAGGAUGGUUGAUGAUGACGAUGGCGACGGAUUUCCCUCUCUGGAGCCCCGAACGGACUCCAGAUCUGCCCUCUCGAGGAAGAACUGGGCUUGGCUGCGACUUCGUAUCGUAAAACGCGACGAAUCCUUCUCUCUAAUUUUUUUCUUCCCGGACGUGAAUAUAUGGAGUUGGAGUUGAGUUCGGUGGAGGUCCAGGGGACCCACAAGAUAGGGGGCGCGCUUAGGGGGUAGGGCACGCGCCCCACCCUUGUGGCUAGGGUGUAGGUCCCCUUCGGUUGAUUCUUUCGCCAAUGUAUUUAUUCCAAAAGUUAUCUCCGUGAAGUUUUAGGUCAUUCCAAGAACUUUUAUUUCUGCACAAAAAUAACACCAUAGCAGUUUUGCUAAAAACAAUGCCAGUCCGGGUUAGUUCCAUUCAAAUCAUGCAAAUUAGAGUCCAAAACAAGGGCAAAAGAGUUUGGAAAAGUAGAUACGAUGGAGACGUAUCAGUGCGCGGCCAGCACCAGGGCCUUAGGCGGCUCACGUCCAGCACCACGCGACAGCUCCCCAUUGGUGCGGCCACUAGCACGCGGCCUCAAGCGGCUUGCGGCAAGCAGCGUGCGGCGGCUCCCUACAGAGCCUCAUUCUCGCAAAGCAGGGGCAGCGAGUGGCUGGUGGGCGCAAUAGGUGGCGGAGACGGGCAGCCACACAAGGGUGGCGAGGAGCCAGGGAUAGCAGCAGGUGGCGGCGCACAAGAACCAGCAUGCGCAGCUCUGUGUGUGCUCUUCCCUUGGCCAUGUCAGUCUAUGCAGCCAGCGAAGGUCGACUUGGGUAGGAUGCUUCCCUAGACAGGUUAGUCUGCCGGGGGAGGGGGAAGACGGGCUGCCCACCGGCAGCAUCGCUCUAGCCAUCGGUCGGUCAGCCAUGGGCGUGCGCGUCGAGCACGAGGUCCUCCAUGGCUGAGGACGAGCGCGGGAGGAAGAACAAAAUGGGGUGAGUAAGAAAGAUAUCGGUGUUGACAUUUUAUGCCACGUCAGCUCCAACGAGUGGGCCAUCCUUGUAAUCACGAUCAAUUUUAAAGCACUCGGUCAUUUCGGGGUUUUGAACAGCCGACCCCAAAGUUGGUAGUUAUCAGCAAAAAUAUAAAACUAGUAGUUUUUUGAAACCCUAGUCCAAACUGUAGUAGUUUUAUGCUAUUUACUCGAAUUGAAGGGGGUAAUAGGUGGGGUAACUCACUUAUAGCGGGUAACCUUCCGACUCGAUGAAGUCACGCGAGCGUAUGGGCCGGCCUAGUGCGCGGGAGGCCACUGCCUCUUUUUUCAUGUUUUCCAUUUUUUUUCAUUUUUACUUUCGUUUAUACUUACAAAUAUUCUAAAUAAAUAUAUUACAAAAUAUUUUACAUUAAACAUUUAAAAAGUUCUAAGCAAGCAUUUCAAAAAUGUUAAAUGUACAUAGAGAAAAAGUUUCUCAUGUAUACCAAAAAUGUAUACAAAAAAAGUUAAUCAUGUAUUUAACAAAUAUUAAUCAAAGCAUUUGAAUUUUUUGAAAACAAGUAUUUAGAUAAUGUUAAACAAGCAUUUAGAAAUUGUUAAAUGUGUAUACAAAAAUGUUGACCAUGUAUUAAAAAACUUAUGAAAUUGUCUUUGCAAAAUGUUAAUAAAACAUAUGAAAAAUGUUAAAUGUGCACAGAAAAAAUAUUGAUCAUAUAUUCAAAAAAAAUUAAUUAAACAUUUGAGAAAAUGUUAAGUGUAUAUAGAGAAAAUAAACGAAGGAAAACGGUGAAAAUAAAAUAAAAAAAACCCAAAAAACCGGUGAAAACCCAACGCUUUUUCUUUAACAAGGUCAUGACCUUCUAAUUAAAUAUGAACCCGGUGGUGGACAAGUGGCUAGCAGCGCAACUCUACAGCUAGACAUCGUGUCCUCGUGGGAUUGAUUCAUGCGUGACCCUUUUUCUCUAGUGUAUUUAUUUUAGUGUGAAUGGGCCGGCCAAAAACUAUAGAUGCGCUUCAGGCGAGACCGAAGGAAGACUUGCUAUAAGCGAGAUAUAGCCUCUGCGAUGUAAGCGAGAGCGUACAAAGGCAGAGGAAGAGAAGGAAAAGAGUCGCUCGCUCGCCUGGGUGGUUGGGCUGCAGGCCCAUGAGGAUGGAAGGGAAGCAGGGAAAAAAUAGAAUUAAGAAACAAAGAAAAUCGCAAAAACCGAACUCUUCACAGCCCCAACAGAAUCGCAAAAAUGUCACCGCCGCCAUGUCAACCACUCAACAUCCAUCGAACCCCGGCGAAAUGAACCCUACAGAAAACAGAGCGGUGGCGGCGAAGCAGUGUACACCUUAGCCCAAUGCUGGAGCCGAUGAAGAACUUAACUCCGAGCAGUCGAAGACGCUCAAAUUGCCAGCGGAGACAAAGAAACCAUACUUAAUCACCUGCGGGGCGGAGUGCGAGACGGGUUAGGAAAAGAUGGGGGACUGGCGUUAGUGGAGCGAGGAAGGGGGAUAUAGGGAACGUUCGCUUAGCCGACAGUUAGCGCAAACAAUUUCUGCGCCUCACGUGGCGACCCUCGCGCCAAGAUCCGUGCGAUGCAUCCGAGGGCGCAAGCACGUUCACACGAGAUCAGUAUAGAACUGACGUCAGUUCUCUAGUGUUCAGGACAUUACUCACUCAACUUGCCUAGCUAGCAACGCGCAGUUGCUUGGGACAAACAACUGACGUUUUUACUUGACAAUAUAUAUUAGCAGAAAAAAGAACAUCCACAUUGACAAGAUUUAAAACCAGUAGGAUUAAUUUAGGAGAUGUAUUUACCAUAUUUGUAGAAAAAAGAACAUCCACAGUGACAAGAUUUAAAACCAAUAGGAUUAAUUUAGGAGACGAGACGAAUUCUAUGGUCGGAAAAAUUUGUAUACAGCCGAACAGAUAGCACUGCAUUUUAUUUUCUAGGUAAGCCAUACACCACCCAGAACAAUCGAACAUCGCUUCCCUUUGGUAUUNNNNNNNNNNNNNNNNNNNNNNNNNNNNNNNNNNNNNNNNNNNNNNNNNNNNNNNNNNNNNNNNNNNNNNNNNNNNNNNNNNNNNNNNNNNNNNNNNNNNNNNNNNNNNNNNNNNNNNNNNNNNNNNNNNNNNNNNNNNNNNNNNNNNNNNNNNNNNNNNNNNNNNNNNNNNNNNNNNNNNNNNNNNNNNNNNNNNNNNNNNNNNNNNNNNNNNNNNNNNNNNNNNNNNNNNNNNNNNNNNNNNNNNNNNNNNNNNNNNNNNNNNNNNNNNNNNNNNNNNNNNNNNNNNNNNNNNNNNNNNNNNNNNNNNNNNNNNNNNNNNNNNNNNNNAUUUUUCAUAGCAAGGAAGGAUGCAUUUCAAAGCUUCUUCACAUUAUGUGAAGAUCCACUAUUUCAAUCAGGACAGUAACCACAAAGAAGGCAAUGCAAAUUGUGUGUAAUGCAAACAAUACAAAGAAGGUAAUGCAAACUGUGUGUAAUGCAAACAAUACAAAGAAGGUAACUGCACCUCCCUCCACAUUUUCACAUCCGGGCUUGGGACCGGCAAAGGCAGUGUUAAACCACAACAAUACAAAACACAAAUUAUACAACAACAUCAAUCAUUUAAGCAAAGCAUACAUGACACACAAUCAAGCAAAUGCAAUAUCAAUGCAGCUCCCUCCACAUUUUCACAUCCGGGCUUGGGACCGGCAAAGGCAGUGUUACACCACAACAAACAAAACAUACAACACCAAUCAUUCAAGCAAAGCAUUCAGGACACACCAUCAAGCAAAGCAUUCAGGACACACCAUCAAGCAAACCAUUCAAGACACCCCAUCAAGCAAAGCAUACAGCACACACCAUCAAGCAAAUGCAAUACUAAUUCAAACACACACACAGAGAGAGUCACAGUCACAAACAGAUUCAGUCACACACACACACAGUAGCAGUCACGCAGAGUCAGUCACACAUACACAGUCACAGUCACACACAGUCAGUCACACACACAAGAGAUAGAAAGGGCACAAACAGAAAGCAUCCUACAAGCAAGACCCAUAAUGUACCUUCCAGGAAUAACUUUUGCUAUCUCUGCUCAUUUAUUCCCAAAUACCUGAUGGCAUUAAUCAGUGCAUGUUCCUCCUCAGUAGUCCAAGCAUCCUUCCAUAUGUUUGGAUUCAGAUGAUUAUGCCACCUAAGAUGUUUUGAAUAAAUUCAAAAAUCAGCUUCAUAUUAACAACUAUGAUGUUUUGAAUGAAUUCAAAAAUCAGCUUCAUAUUAACAACUGCAUCACCUAGACCAAAUGUGUUUCCCCCGAUAGCAGCCACAACUUGAUUGAAGAAUAGAGCAACCGUCUGCAGAAAGAAGAACAAAAUAGUUAGCACGGACUGCGAAUAGAGAAAGAGAAGCCAAGAAAUAACAAGUUACACAAGGCAAUUACCUGUUCAUUAGCGAUCGGAGGAAGUCCACCAAAGUAAACACGCCGAGAAUGCCGAGUAACCUAAGAAAAGAGUAGUCAGACAUAUGCAUCCGGAACAAGAAAAAUCUCAAGCACAAAGGAAAAAAUCGAGCAUACCUACUGUGUCGUGGCAGUGGCUGCAUAGCAAGUGGAUCGAUGCAAAGGAAAGAAAGAAUUAGAAAGUAAUAACAAAACAUUGAAUAAUAAAGAAGCAUAAUAGAUCACAGGUGGGUUCAUUCUGCCAUCACCAAAUAAACUGCAAAUCAGAGUGAAUCUGGUCGCGUUGUGAUGACAGAAUGGACUAUCCAUGAUUUGACUACUAGCUACACUGAAUCAUAAAAGGAGCACAGUAGUCACCUGUCCUAGAGCGGAUAAAUUGAACGUGUUCGGGAGCAUGUUCGGAAACAUCCCAGGAUCAGCAGCAGGAAGUUCUGGUAGCUGACCUGCAAUGCAUCGACAGAGAAUUGUUACCAGUGUGUUUACCUUGCACAUAGGGGGAAAAUGCAUUUCAGCAAACCAUAUAAAAAUAAAACAAUCAAAAGAAAUACCUUGCAAUGCGACCAUUUUGUUAGUCCAUACUUGUUUAUAAGGUCAAUAAUUUUGUCAUCUUCCUGUAGAAAAAAUAUCAUAAAUAUAACUAUAAAAUGUGCAAAAUCUUUUUUUUCUCGAGCAAAGUCAGGAGUGCAAUGACAAACCUCUUGAGUCCAAGGACCUUUGAUGAGUUCAGUGUUAAAGAACCUUCUGCCAUGGAUGUAAACAUUGCACUUCUGUCCUAUCCGGAAAUAAUUCAGCUGCGUAGGUAGAUACUGACACAAUAUGUGAGCUCACCACACUUGCAUAUAUAGAACAACGUCCAAAGAAGCAUGGUAUUAUAACUAGCUAAAAUGUGGGAUAUGCAUAAAUAUUGUGUACAAACUUGAAAGGAGUUAAAUUCGAGAGGGGUUACCAUACAAACACAGACCAGGUUGAUGAGCGAUCCACGACUUCGGUUCAAACACAAGAAGCACACCAUCAGAGCCAUCAUGAAAACCUCCAUCCACCCUGGAUUCUACAUAUACAUCAUUCUGAACACAAACAUCAUACUUGUGGCAGGAAAAUAUACAGCAAUGCAUUGAAGAGUGUCCAAAGGGCAAUGAUACUACCAACUACAGAGGUAUGUAGGUCAUAAAAUUACAUGCCCAUGACCUUAUAGAAAUUUCCAUGCAUUAUCAGGUGCCAAUAGGUAGUUAUGGAGUGCUUGCACAAUGACACACAGUCACAGUCAACACACACAUACACACAGUCAAUACAUAGUCACAGUCAGUCAACACACACACACACAGUCAAUACAGAGUCAGACAGUCAAUACACAGUCAGACAGUCAGCACACACACAGACACACACAUACACACACACACAAUGGACACAGUCACAGUCAGUCAACACACACACACACACAGUCACAGUCAAUACACAGUCAGACAGUCAACACACACACACAGACACACACAAUGGAGCGCUUGCACACAAGAAACGGACAAAGAAACACACACACAGAGUCAGUCACACACACAAAUUGUCAGUCACACACACACAGUCACGGUCACACACACAGUCACACAGACACAAUGGAGUGCUUGCACACAAGAAACAGACAUAGAUAGGAUGAAACUAAUCGAAGACAUGAGAAAAAGUAAACUAUUUGUUCAAGCUUCCCGUUCAGAACCUUCCAACUUUGCAUUAUUUUAGUUCUUCGAUUCCAAACCUCUCUGCAUUACCCAACUACGAGGCCGCUACUGUUAUACAAACGAAGUCAAGUGUAAGAGCGCCAGAGAGCAAAUUAGGAGGUACCUUUUCUUUAUCACCAAAUUUCAGAGUCUGCACGUACCAAAAUUGUAUUUUGAGUCACAAGAUGAACCUAAAGAACUCACCGGGAAAAUACUCAAAUUAACAAAUCAACUGAAUCAUGGAGAACAUCAUGUAGAAAAGUAGUCCGACAAAUCCAAAGCAAUUCAAGUAUAUAUGUAGACAAUCAGAGCUCAUGUACAUGCAAGCUGAAGAUCAAAAUUUGAUUACCUUAGUUGGUAAAACAGAAAGGUGAUAAAUUUGCAAGCUGAAGAUCAAAAUUUGAUUACCUUAGUUGGUAAAACAGAAAGCGAUAGGAACCCUGAGCAGUCCUUGGCAUGCCAGUUUGUAUGACUGUAGAGGUGAGCUAAAAUUAGAAUGAUGAGUUGUUCAGAUCAAGAUGACCCUCAGAAGCAGCCAUCUUUUGUUUAUACUUGAAGUCAUCACGGCCAAUUAGUCGUGGAAUUGCCAAAAUAUUUCUGGUGUCAUAGAUAUCUAACUUCUUUCUCAAAGAAAUAUUCCAAUAUAUGAUUCUUUAUAGAACUAUCUGUCCUGAAAAGAGUAACAUACUAUCAGCCAUAGAUAUCUAACUUCUUUCUCAAAGAAAUAUUCCAAUGAUUCUUUAUAGAACUAUCUGUCCUGAAAAGAGUAGCAUACUAUCAACAUGAAUACUUGUGAAGUGAACAAGGAAACCAUGGCUAAAUAGGCAUUUUGGGACUACAUCAGUAUUGCAAAAUGUAAAAAACAUAUUCCAAUGAUUCUUUAUAGAAUUUUCGGUCCUGGAAACAGUAACAUACUAUCAGCAUGAAUACAUAAUCUUGUGAAGUGAACAAGGGAAACAUGGCUAAAUAAGCGUUUUGGGACUACAGACAUCAGCAUCACAAAAUGUAAAAACCAUAAAUAUACCUGCACUGUAAGCAAACCCGACACAUCAGUGUCCUUAGAAACGCAAGGAAGAGCAAAUGUGACAUUUGUCUAUAUCCUGCCUGAAAUACUUAGAAAAGCAUUAUUCCAGUGAUUGGACAUCAGUAAUAUAAAAAAAAGAAUAUGAUAUCCACAUAAGACAUAACGAAACACAGAUAUCACAAAAAAUGUAGUGUCAAACACCAACAUGAUUAGUAUGGUAAGAAAAAUAAGGAACAAAAACAGGGAAAAGGGUGCUGUGAUGAGUGAGUGAGAUAAACAGGGAAGAGGGCAUGGGAUGCAUUGGAUGCCAAAUCGGCCACGCAAAGGAGUGGAAGCCAAGCAAGUGAGUGUUACAAGAAUCAAACUUUUCUGCUCAGCCUAUCAUCAUCUAUCAGCAGGAGAGAAGCCUGACCAGUGUCUCUGGAUCCCUGCCUGCUCGAAACGGCCUACAUGGUUUGCAUCCCUCAACACAUCCCCAUAUAUGGGGAGACGACACUGGAACACAAGCAAAGCAUGAAGAAGAAACCAAUUGGACAGACCAUAUAAGCAGUAACACAAUCAGAAUCACCCCAUCUAAGCAAUCAAACACAGUCACACACAGACAAUGGAGUGCUUGCACACAUGAAACAGACAAAGAAACAUACAUAGAUAGGGGCACAUCACACACACACAGUCAGACACACAGUCAAGACACACACAAUGGAGCACUUGCACACAAGAAACACACAGAGAAACAAACAUAGAUAGGGGGUACAAACAGAAAGCUAAUACAUGCAAGACCAAAGUAAACUCAGAAAGCUAUAAAGAAGUUCUAGAAACUGAAUGAGUAAACUGAUUUCUGUAGAGGGGUGAGGGUAAUUCAGAUCUUCAUUCCUGAAAACAGGAAGCUAGUUAGAUCAUCAUCACUACCCACAAGUUUGUAGGCACAGAGACGCAUGCUUAUUCUUGUCACAAAGUCAAGGCAAAGCAAGAAAAGCAUUAUUUCAGUGACUGGACAGCAGUAAAUGAUAUCAUAUCUCAUGCAUAAUUGAGUCAGUGAACCUCAAAAGGGAACAAAGAACAGUAGAAAUGUAUGGUCAAACAUCACGGUAAAUGAUUAUGAUAAGAAAAAGUGACAGCGUGAGUGUUCAUGCACACGCAAAAGAAAUACCACUUACGAACAAAACCUACUUGCGUUGAACAUAAAUGAAAUUAAAAAAUUAGCAGAUUUACACUAUAUUAGGUCACAACCAGGUUCUAAACAAACAUGGCAUAAAAUCUAUAUGCAAUCCAAAUCCUAAUCACGCCCAGGCUUCCCAAGUGCAUGGCUUACGUAGCGACAAAUACAGAAGUCAGCAUUCUUGAUAUUUGAACCAAUGAGUACAAAAUUUGCUCCAAGUUGAUGCCAUAAAAUUUAACAGGACAAACAAAAGGGACAUGAGCAGCAUUGAUAGAAAACAUGUGAUGAAGGUGCUUUCACAGAUAAAUAAAGUCUGGAAGUUAUGCUCAUAGCAGAAUUAUAUGCGCAGGUGUGCAAUGACAAAAUUCUGGAGUAAUGCUAUGCAAUCAGAACGAAGCCUAAGGGGCUAGCAGCAAUUCAUCUAGUGUACUCCUAUAUGAAAAUGGAAAUAGCAACACGAGGAAUAAAAGAAGGAAACCUUGUCCUACAGUAGCAGCAGCAGGUGUUCAAUUAGUCAAGCAGCAAGCCACAUGAUUUGCACUCUUUUAAAACUUUCUGCUAUGCCUGCCUGCUCGAAAUGGCACCCCUGAACACACAUCAGCAUAUAUGGGAACAUACACAGAGCAUGAUAGGAAGUAACCAACCAAUUGAAUUGAAAAGAACAGAAAUUAACACCCAUCAGAACAAAAUCACCCCUGCAUCUAGCCUGACGAAAGUGAAACAAGCUAGCUGGUACAAUGAGAAUCGACAUAGGAACCAUAGUAUCUAGGCUAACACGAACAAGCUAGCCGUUUGAGAUGAGACAACAACCGACGAACAACGCAGGAGCCUAGGAACCGAUCUGAACUAGCACGACAAACUGACAAAAUUGCUCUCCGCCUCUCCAUCUCCGGCCCGUAAUCCAAUUUCAAAACCAAGACCCGACCGUUCCUGCAACGCUCGCGCCGACACGAACGCGAAGAAACGCAGGAUCCAAAGCGUCUCUCAGACAACAGAAGCACACGCAGAAAUUUCUGAAUCGCAAACCAGACGGAGACCCUCGACGAGACGGACCAAGAACAUGCGGGCGCGUCGGGGCAACGGCGAGAACGAGCAAAAACGUAAACGGACGACGGCGUGGACGAGCAGAACCAAAUCAGAAGCGAGCGACUCUAAACUGACGACGGCGGGGACGCGCAAAAUCAACUCGGGAGCGGUUCUAAACCGACGAACUGAGAACGAGCAAACUCAAAUCGGACGCGAUUCUAAGCGGACGACGGCGAGAACGAGCAAAAUCAAAUCAGGCGGGGCGGCGACGGCGAGCAAAGUCAAAUCCGGACGCGACUCUAAACGGGCAAAAGGACGAGCAAAAUCAAAUCCAGACGCGAUUCUAGACGGGCAAAAUCGAUCGAGGAGGGCGAGCAAGAUGAAACCCGGCUCGAGGAGCGCGGCCCGGACGAAGGGCGGAGGAGGAGCAGUGGGCCGGCCGGAGCGCGGCGGGGAGGUCGGAGGAGAGAGGCACCGCCCGGACGAAGAGAGGAGGAGGGGGAGCGGACCGGGCAGGGCGCGGCGAGGAGGAGGAAGGCGCGGCGCGGAGGAAGAGAGGAGGAGGAGGGGCGGAGCGGCCAAAGGGCGCGGCUUUAUAGCCGGGGCAGAGGCGGUGGCGGCGGCCGGAGCCUUGUCCUUGGCCGAGGGGCGCGUGGCGUGGCGUGGCGGCGGAAAUAGAAGGAAAGUGGAGCUGGUGAUGGAUGGAAGGAUCCGGAGCGGGCAGGGGCAGGGGUAGGCAUCAAUGCGGGGUCGGCUGCGGUGCGGUGCUUCCGUCUUGGAUUGGGGGCGGACAGGGGAAUUUCUUACCGUUGCGACGCCCAUCCACGCCGUGUCUUGGAAAUGUUUUUUCCUGGUAUUCUUAAAAAGAAAAUGUUUUUUUACGAACACAGAAAAUGUUUCUUUGGUACAGGUCAUGGCAUACCACACUAUAUAUAUUAGGCCAUUUCAAACGCUGACCAUAGUUGGAUACGUAUCUAUCCUCGGACGUUCACAUUGAUACGGAGUCGGUCGUCCAACCAUGCUCGCGUGCAUUUCAAUCCGUAUUUAAACAAACCGGACGGAAUACAUGCAAAUUGAACGGUUUUCAUCUAAAUCGGGUGAUUUUGUUUUUAUGUUUCUGGCAUAUUUUAUUAAAUAAAAGCGACCGAACCUAAACUUAGUCUAAAAAUCGAAGGUGGCGCACGUCCUCCGAGUCCUUAUUCUUCCCUUCCGUGCCCAUGUCGGGCGGUCGUGUCCAUGUCCGACGGCCAGCUGAGCCACGCGGAGUGAAAGUGCGACCGCCGAUGAGCAAGAGUAGAACACGGGACAAGGAUCGGCUCAUGGGACUCGAGGCCUCGCCGCCUCCCACGCCCUACCGCUCCUUGUCGGAGUCAGUCUGUCCAUCACCGGUUCACGUGAGAUCGAUGAUGGACAUGGACGGACAUGCCUCGUCGUGGAAUCGGCACCCUUGAAACUUCAUUGGCAGUGCGAAGGGUGCGCAGCUACCGACAUUCUCAUCCGCGAUCGCUUGCGCCGCCUCCGCGUCCGACUAUGACGCGACUGCGUUGUAGGCGGCAUGAGCGCGCGCGGCCUUGUACAUCACCCUUUGCUCGGUGAUGAAGUUGGGGUUCUCCGCGGCCUUGGCCGCCUCGGAUUCCUCGCUCACGAGCUAGCCGUAGAUUUAGCCUUCCAUUAACUGAUCCUGCUUGAGGAGGGAGAAGUUGUACCUGAAGGAAAUAUGCCCUAGAGACAAUAAUAAAGUUGUUAUUUAUAUUUCCUUAUAUCAUGAUAAAUGUUUAUUAUUCAUGCUAGAAUUGUAUUAACCGGAAACUUAGUACAUGUGUGAAUACAUAGACAAACAGAGUGUCACUAGUAUGCCUAUACUUGACUAGCUCGUUGAAUCAAAAAUGGUUAUGUUUCCUAACCAUAGACAUUAGUUGUCAUUUGAUUAACGGGUUCACAUCAUUAGAGAAUGAUGUGAUUGACUUGACCCAUUCCGUUAGCUUAGCACUUGAUCGUUUAGUAUAUUGCUAUUGUUUUCUUCAUGACUUAUACAUGUUCCUAUGACUAUGAGAUUAUGCAACUCCCGAAUACCGGAGGAACACUUUGUGUGCUACCAAACGUCACAACGUAACUGAGUGAUUAUAAAGGUGCUCUACAGGUGUCUCCGAUGGUACUUGUUGAGUUGGCAUAGAUCGAGAUUAGGAUUUGUCACUCCGAUUGUCCGAGAGGUAUCUCUGGGCCCUCUCGGUAAUGCACGUCACUAUAAUCCUUGCAAGCAAUGUAACUAAUGAGUUAGUUGUGGGAUGAUGCAUUACGGAACGACUAAAGAGACUUGCUGGUAACGAGAUUGAACUAGGUAUUGAGAUACCGACGAUCGAAUCUCGGGAAAGUAACAUACCGAUGACAAAGGAAACAACGUAUGUUGUUAUGCGAUUUAACCGAUAAAGAUCUUCGUAGAAUAUGUAGGAGCCAAUAUGAGCAUCUAGGUUCCGCUAUUGGUUAUUGACCAGAGACGUGUCUCGGUCAUGUCUACAUAGUUCUCGAACCCAUAGGGUCCGCAUGCUUAACGUUCGGUGACGAUCGAUAUUAUGAGUUUAUGUGUUUUGAUGUACCGAAGGUAGUUCAGAGUCCCGGAUAUGAUCACGGACAUGACGAGGAGUCUUGAAAUGGUCGAGACAUAAAUAUCGAUAUAUUGAAAGCCUAUAUUUGGACAUCGGAAUAGUUCCGGGUGAAUUCGGGAAUUUACCGGAGUACCGGGAGGUUACCGAACCCCCCCCCCNNNNNNNNNNNNNNNNNNNNNNNNNNNNNNNNNNNNNNNNNNNNNNNNNNNNNNNNNNNNNNNNNNNNNNNNNNNNNNNNNNNNNNNNNNNNNNNNNNNNNNNNNNNNNNNNNNNNNNNNNNNNNNNNNNNNNNNNNNNNNNNNNNNNNNNNNNNNNNNNNNNNNNNNNNNNNNNNNNNNNNNNNNNNNNNNNNNNNNNNNNNNNNNNNNNNNNNNNNNNNNNNNNNAUGGGCCUUAUUGGGCCAUAGUGGAGAGAGAGAGGAGGCCAGGGCAGGCUGCACGCCCCCUUCCCCUCUGGUCUGAAUUGGACUAGGAGGGGGGCACCCCCCUUUCCUUCCUCCCUCUCUCCCCCUUCCUUCUCUCCUAGUCCAACUAGGGAAGGGGGGGAAUCCUACUCCCAGUGGGAGUAGGACUCCUCCAUGGCGCGCCAUAGAGAGGCCGGCCCUCCCCCUCCUUCACUCCUUUAUAUACGGGGGAGGGGGCACCCCAUAGACACACAAGUUGAUCAUUGAUCUCUUAGCCGUGUGCGGUGCCCCCCUCCACCAUAAUCCACCUCGGUCAUAUCGUCGUAGUGCUUAGGCGAAGCCCUGCGCCGGUAGCUUCAUCAUCACCGUUAUUACGCCGUCGUGCUGAUGAAGCUCUCCCUCAAAGCUCUACUGGAUUGUGAGUUCGUGGGACGUCGCCGAGCUGAACGUGUGCAGAUCGCGGAGGUGUCGUACGUUCGGUACUAGGAUCGGUCGAUCGUGAAGACGUACGACUACAUCAACCGCGUUGUCAUAACGCUUCCGCUUUCGGUCUACGAGGGUACGUGGACAACACUCUUCCCUCUCAUUGCUAUGCAUCACCAUGAUCUUGCGUGUGCAUAGUAAAUUUUUUGAAAUUACUACGUUCCCCAACAGUGGCAUCCGAGCCAGGUUUAUGCGUAGAUGUUAUAUGCACGAGUAGAACACAAGUGAGUUGUGGACGAUACUAGUCAUACUGCUUACCAGCAUGUCAUACUUUGAUUCGGCGGUAUUGUUGGAUGAAGCGGCUCGGACCGACAUUACGCGUACGCUUACGCGAGACUGGUUCUACCGAUGUGCUUCGCACACAGGUGGCUGGCGGGUGUCAGUUUCUCCAACUUUAGUUGAAUCGAGUGUGGCUACGCCCGGUCCUUGUUGAAGGUUAAAACAACACAUACUUGACAAAAUAUUGUUGUGGUUUUGAUGCGUAGGUAAGAACGGUUCUUGCUCAGCCCAUAGCAGCCACGUAAAACUUGCAACAACAAGUAGAGGACGUCUAACUUCUUUUUGCAGGGCAUGUUGUGAUGUGAUAUGGUCAAGACAUGAUGCUAAAUUUUAUUGUAUGAGAGGAUCAUGUUUUGUAACAGAGUUAUCGGCAACUGGCAGGAGCCAUAUGGUUGUCACUUUAUUGUAUGAAAUGCAAUUGCCAUGUAAUUGCUUUACUUUAUCACUAAGUGGUAGCAAUAAUCAUAGAAACAAUAGUUGGCGAGACGACAACGAUGCUACGAUGAAGAUCAAGGUGUCGCGCCGGUGACGAUGGUGAUCAUGAAGAUGCUUUGGAGAUGAAGAUCAAAGGCACAAGAUGAUGAUGGCCAUAUCAUAUCACUUAUAUUGAUUGCAUGUGAUGUUUAUCCUUUAUGCAUCUUAUUUUGCUUAGAUCGACGGUAGCAUUAUAAGAUGAUCUCUCACUAAUUUCAAGGUACAAGUGUUCUCCCUAUGUAUGCACCGUUGGCGAAAGUUCGUCGUGCUGAGACACCACGUGAUGAUCGGGUGUGAUAAGCUCUACGUUCGCAUACAACGGGUGCAAGCCAUUUUUGCACACGCAGAAUACUCGGGUUAGACUUGAGGAGCCUAGCAUAUGUAGAUAUGGCCUCGGAACACUGAGACCGAAAGGUCGAGCGUGAAUCAUAUAGUAGAUAUGAUCAACAUAGUGAUGUUCACCAUUGAAAACUACUCCAUCUCACGUGAUGAUCGAACAUGGUUUAGUUGAUUUGGAUCACGUGAUCACUUAGAUGAUUAGAGGGAUGUCUAUCUAAGUGGGAGUUCUUAAGUAAUUUAAUUAAUUGAACUUUAAUUUAUCAUGAACUUAGUACCUGAUAGUAUUUUGCAUGUCUAUGUUGUUGUAGAUAGAUGGCCCGUGCUGUUGUUCCGUUGAAUUUUAAUGUGUUCCUAGAGAAAGCUAAGUUGAAAGAUGAUGGUAGCAACUAUACGGACUGGGUCCGUAACUUGAGGAUUAUCCUCAUUGCUGCACAGAAGAAUUACGUCCUGGAAGCACCGCUAGAUGCCAAACCCGCUGCAGGAGCAACGCCAGAUGUUAUGAACGUCUGGCAGAGCAAAGCUGAUGACUACUCGAUAGUUCAGUGUGCCAUGCUUUACGGCUUAGAACCGGGACUUCAACGACGUUUUGAACGUCAUGGUGCAUAUGAGAUGUUCCAGGAGUUGAAGUUAAUAUUUCAAGCAAAUGCCCGGAUUAAGAGAUAUGAAGUCUCCAAUAAGUUCUACAUCUGCAAGAUGGAGGAGAAUAGUUCUGUCAGUGAGCAUAUACUCAAAAUGUCUGGGUAUAACAAUCACUUGAUUCAACUGGGAGUUAAUCUUCCGGAUGAUAGUGUCAUUGGCAGAAUUCUUCAAUCACUGCCACAAAGCUACAAGAGCUUCGUGAUGAACUAUAACAUGCAAGGGAUGGAUAAGACAAUUCCCGAGCUUUUCGCAAUGCUAAAGGCUGCGGAGGUAGAAAUCAAGAAGGAGCAUCAAGUGUUGAUGGUCAACAAGAUCACCAGUUUCAAGAAAAAGGGUAAAGGGAAGAAGGGGAACUUUAAGAAGAACGGCAAGCAAGUUGCUGCUCAAGUGAAGAAGCCCAAGUCUGGACCUAAGCCUGAGACUGAGUGUUUCUACUGCAAAGGGAUUGGUCACUGAAAGCGGAACUGCCCCAAGUAUUUGGCGGAUAAGAAGGAUGGCAAGGUGAACAAAGGUAUAUGUGAUAUACAUGUUAUUGAUGUGUACCUUACUAAUGCUCGCAGUAGCACCUAGGUAUUUGAUACUGGUUCUGUUGCUAAUAUUUGCAACUCGAAACAAGGACUACAGAUUAAGCGAAGAUUGGCUAAGGACGAGGUGACGAUGCGCGUGGGAAAUGGUUUCAAAGCCGAUGUGAUCGCGGUCAGCACGCUACCUCUACAUCUACCUUCGGGAUUAGUUUUACACCUGAAUAAUUGUUAUUUGGUGCCAGCGUUGAGCAUGAACAUUAUAUCUGGAUCUUGUUUGAUGCGAGACGGUUAUUCAUUUAAAUCAAAGAAUAAUGGUUGUUCUAUUUAUAUGAGUAAUAUCUUUUAUGGUCAUGCACCCUUGAAGAGCGGCCUAUUUAUAUUGAAUCUCGAUAGUAGUGAUACACAUAUUCAUAAUAUUGAAGCCAAAAGAAGCAGAGUCGAUAAUGAUAGUGCAACUUAUUUGUGGCACUGCCGUUUAGGUCAUAUUGGUGUAAAGCGCAUGAAGAAACUCCAUUCCGAUGGAAUUUUGGAAUCACUUGAUUAUGAAUCACUUAGUACUUGCGAACCAUGCCUCAUGGGCAAGAUGGCUAAAACUCCGUUCUCCGAAACAAUGGAGCGAGAAACAGAUUUGUUGGAAAUCAUACAUACUGAUGUAUGUGGUCCGAUGAAUCUUAAGGCUCACGGCGGGUAUCGUUAUUUUCUCACCUUUACAGAUGAUUUAAGCAGAUAUGGGUAUAUCGACUUAAUGAAACAUAAGUCUGAAACAUUUGAAAAGUUCAAAGAAUUUCAGAGUGAAGUGAAAAAUUAUCGUAGCAAGAAAAUAAAGUUUCUACGAUCUGAUCGUGGAGGAGAAUAUUUGAGUUACGAAUUUGGUCUUCAUUUGAAACAAUGCGGAAUAGUUUCGCAACUCACGCCACCCCGAACACCACAGCGUAAUGGUGUGUCCGAACGUCGUAAUCGUACUUUACUUGAUAUGGUGCGAUCUAUGAUGUCUCUUACUGAUUUACCGCUAUCGUUUUGGGGUUAUGCUUUAGAGACGGCUGCAUUCACAUUAAAUAGGGCACCAUCUAAAUCCGUUGAGACGGCACCUUAUGAACUGUGGUUUGGCAAGAAACCAAAGUUGCCAUUUCUUAAAGUUUGGGGCUGCGAUGCUUAUGUGAAAAAGCUUCAACCUGAUAAGCUCGAACCCAAAUCGGAGAAAUGUGUCUUCAUAGGAUACCCAAAGGAGACUGUUGGGUACACCUUCUAUCACAGAUCCGAAGGCAAGAUAUUCGUUGCUAAGAAUUGAUCCUUUCUACAGAAGGAGUUUCUCUUGAAAAAGUGAGUGGGAGGAAUGUAGAACUUGAUGAGGUAACUGUACCUGCUCCCUUAUUGAAAAGUAGCUCAUCACAGAAAUCUGUUCCUGUGACUCCUACACCAAUUAGUGAGGAAGCUAAUGAUGAUGAUCAUGUAACUUCAGAUCAAGUUACUAUCGAACCUCGUAGGUCAACUAGAGUAAGAUCCGCACCAGAGUGGUACGGUAAUCCUGUUCUGGAGGUCAUGUUACUUGACCAUGACGAACCUACAAACUAUGAGGAAGCGAUGAUGAGCCCAGAUUCCGCGAAAUGGCUUGAGGCCAUGAAAUCUGAGAUGGGAUCCAUGUAUGAGAACAAAGUAUGGACUUUGGUUGACUUGCCCGAUGAUCGACAAGCCAUAGAGAAUAAAUGGAUCUUCAAGAAGAAGACCGACGCUGACGAUAAUGUUACUGUCUACAAAGCUCGACUUAUUGUGAAAGGUUUUCGACAAGUUCAAGGAGUUGACUACGAUGAGACCUUCUCACUCGUAGCGAUGCUUAAGUCCGUCCGAAUCAUGUUAGCAAUUGCCGCAUUUUAUGAUUAUGAAAUUUGGCAAAUGGAUGUAAAGACUGCAUUCCUGAAUGGAUUUCUGGAAGAAGAGUUGUACAUGAUGCAACCUGAAGGUUUUAUCGAUCCAAAGGAUGCUAACAAAGUGUGCAAGCUCCAGCGAUCCAUUUAUGGACUGGUGCAAGCCUCUCGGAGUUGGAAUAAAUGUUUUGAUAGUGUGAUCAAAGCAUAUGGUUUUAUACAGACUUUGAGAAGCCUGUAUUUACAAUAAAGUGAGUGGGAGCUCUAUAGCAUUUCUAAUAUUAUAUGUGGAUGACAUAUUGUUGAUUGGAAAUGAUAUAGAAUUUCUGGAUAGCAUAAAAGGAUACUUGAACAAGAGUUUUUCAAUGAAAGACCUCGGUGAAGCUGCUUAUAUAUUGGGCAUCAAGAUCUAUAGAGAUAGAUCGAGACGCUUAAUUGGACUUUCACAAAGCACAUACCUUGAUAAAGUUUUGAAGAAGUUCAAAAUGGAUCAAGCAAAGAAAGGGUUCUUGCCUGUGUUACAAGGUGUGAAGUUGAGUCAGACUCAAUGCCCGACCACUGCAGAAGAUAGAGAGAAAAUGAAAAGCGUUCCCUAUGCUUCAGCCAUAGGCUCUAUCAUGUAUGCAAUGCUGUGUACCAGACCUGAUGUGUGCCUUGCUAUUAGUUUAGCAGGGAGGUACCAAAGUAAUCCAGGAGUGGAUCACUGGACAACGGUCAAGAACAUCCUGAAAUACCUGAAAAGGACUAAGGAUAUGUUUCUCGUUUAUGGAGGUGACAAAGAGCUCGUCGUAAAUGGUUACGUUGAUGCAAGCUUUGACACUGAUCCAGAUGACUCUAAGUCACAAACCGGAUACGUAUUUAUAUUGAACGGUGGAGCUGUCAGUUGGUGCAGUUCUAAGCAAAGCGUCGUGGCGGGAUCUAUGUGUGAAGCGGAGUACAUAGCUACUUCGGAAGCAGCAAAUGAAGGAGUCUGGAUGAAGGAGUUCAUAUCCGAUCUAGGUGUCAUACCUAGUGCAUUGGGUCUAAUGAAAAUAUUUUGUGACAAUACUGGUGGAAUUGCCUUGGCAAAGGAAUCCAGAUUUCACAAGAGAACCAAGCACAUCAAGAGAUGCUUCAAUUCCAUCCGCGAUCAAGUGAAGGAGGGAGACAUAGAGAUUUGCAAGAUACAUACGGAUCUGAAUGUUGCAGACCCGUUGACUAAGCCUCUCUCACGAGCAAAACAUGAUCAGCACCAAGACUCCAUGGGUGUUAGAAUCAUUACUGUGUAAUCUAGAUUAUUGACUCUAGUGCAAGUGGGAGACUGAAGGAAAUAUGCCCUAGAGGCAAUAAUAAAGUUGUUAUUUAUAUUUCCUUAUAUCAUGAUAAAUGUUUAUUAUUCAUGCUAGAAUUGUAUUAACUGGAAACUUAGUACAUGUGUGAAUACAUAGACAAACAGAGUGUCAUUAGUAUGCCUCUACUUGACUAGCUCGUUGAAUCAAAGAUGGUUAUGUUUCCUAACCAUAGACAUGAGUUGUCAUUUGAUUAACGGGAUCACAUUAUUAGAGAAUGAUGUGAUUGACUUGACCCAUUCCGUUAGCUUAGCACUUGAUUUUUUAGUAUAUUGCUAUUGCUUUCUUCAUGACUUAUACAUGUUCCUAUGACUAUGAGAUUAUGCAACUCCUGAAUACCGGAGGAACACUUUGUGUGCUACCAAACGUCACAACGUAACUGGGUGAUUAUAAAGGUGCUCUACAGGUGUCUCUGAUGGUACUUGUUGAGUUGGCAUAGAUCGAGAUUAGGAUUUGCCACUCCGAUUGUCCGAGAGGUAUCUCUGGGCCCUCUCGGUAAUGCACGUCACUAUAAUCCUUGCAAGCAAUGUAACUAAUGAGUUAGUUGCGGGAUGAUGCAUUACAGCACGAGUAAAGAGACUUGCCGGUAACGAGAUUGAACUAGGUAUUGAGAUACCGACGAUCGAAUCUCGGGCAAGUAACAUACCGAUGACAAAGGGAACAACGUAUGUUGUUAUGCGGUUUGACCGAUAAAGAUCUUCGUAGAAUAUGUACGAGCCAAUAUGAGCAUCCAGGUUCCGCUAUUGGUUAUUGACCGGAGACGUGUCUCGGUCAUGUCUACAUAGUUCUCGAACCCAUAGGGUCCGCACACUUAACGUUCGGUGACGAUCGAUAUUAUGAGUUUAUGUGUUUUGAUGUACCGAAGGUAGUUCGGAGUCCCAGAUAUGAUCACGGACAUGACGAGGAGUCUCAAAAUGGCCGAGACAUAAAGAUCGAUAUAUUGGAAGCCUAUAUUUGGACAUCGGAAUAGUUCCGGGUGAAUACGGGAAUUUACCGGAGUACCGGGAGGUUACCGGAACCCCCCGGUAAGUAUAUGGCCUUAUUGGGCCAUAGUGGAGGGAGAGGGAGGAGGCCAGAGCAGGCCGCGCGCCCCCUUCCCCUCUGGUCCGAAUUGGACUAGGAGGGGGGGGGCGGCGCCCCCCUUUCCUUCCUCCCUCUCUCCCCUUCCUUCUCUCCUAGUCCAACUAGGGAAGGGGGGGGGAAUCCUACUCCUAGUGGGUGUAGGACUCCUCCAGGGCGCGCCAUAGAGAGGCCAGCCCUCCCCCCUCCUCCACUCCUUUAUAUACGGGGAGGGGGGCACCCCAUAGACACACAAGUUGAUCAUUGAUCUGUUAGCCGUGUUCGGUGCCCCCUCCACCAUAAUCCACCUCGGUCAUAUCGUCGUAGUGCUUAGGCGAAGCCCUGCGCCGGUAGCUUCAUCAUCACCGUCAUCACACCAUCGUGCUGAUGAAGCUCUCCCUCGAAGCUCUACUGGAUCGUGAGUUCGUGGGACGUCGCCGAGCUGAACGUGUGCAAAUCGCGGAGGUGCCGUACGUUCAGUACUAGGAUCGGUCGAUCGUGAAGACGUACGACUACAUCAACCACGUUGUCAUAACGCUUCCGCUUUCGGUCUACGAGCGUACGUGGACAACACUCUCCCCUCUCGUUGCUAUGCAUCACCGUGAUCUUGCGUGCGCGUAGGAAUUUUUUUGAAAUUACUACGUUCCCCAACAGUACCCUAUUCCUCCUGCACCUGCCAGAACCCUGACAUCGACUGUGGCGCCGGCUGCUGCUCCGCCAUGGCAUCCUUGAAGUGUGCUUGCGCAUGCUCCAUGGUCAAGCCGGAAUGGAACAGGGCGCGCAGGGGCACCGACUCGUCGUCGGAGGUUGUCUCCAUCGUCGGGUCAUCAUCGGAGACCUUCGAGGAGUAGGCUGGCAGGCCGACCUCUAUUCGCCUCACAUGACAACCCUGCUAGCCGGCCGUAAGGGUGGCUAGCUCGUGCUUAUGCUCUGUCUGGAGGCUCGCCAACAUUGUAGUGGAGCUUGCGGUCAUGGAGGUGGUGGUCCACGGAGGAGGAUGUGAAGCGGACGUGGUGUGGUGUGGUUUGUGCCGAGUGUGACCUGGUGUAAAUGGCCAACACCGGCCAGGCCAAGCGGUGGGGUGUGUCAAUGCGGGCACCGGAGUUGGUUUCGCAGCUGGUGUGCGUGUAUAAUGACGGUAGGUGGACAGACGGCAACCUGCUUCAAGUGGUAGAUAUACAUCCUAUCCUGUCCAGUAAUGUCUCUACAACAUUAAACAGGCGCGGACAUCGGACGCGGCGCAAGCGGUGCUCUCGACCGACGCGUCACUUCAGUGUUGGCACAAAUGAGAGGUCGCGUUCGCUCUAGGCUAGCAUGAAUGCAACGCUCGUGCUCUGGAACGGCUUUAGCAAUGGCAACCGCUUCAUGCAGGAGAGAUUUUCGGGCCAGUCCGGGAUCUCCUUCGCAUAUGUGGCGGCAAUCCCGCAAGCCCCUGGUUUUGCCUCUAGUUUGCGGGAAAACAGACGUCCAAAUCGAUCCGCGAAUUGAUGGGAUACCGGGUCGAGACGUCUCAGUAUGGACAAAAGCGGUUGGCUUCAGGGUCAGCUUUGGGGAUGCCCUUACUCCUAUAAAAGGAUGCUGGAGUACCCACCUUCUGGGGGCUUCACGGGAGAGGAGGCCCUCCAUGCAUCCCUUUUCAGGUGGUGUUCCGCAGGGACCUCUUGUGAGCUCUCUGCAUCAUCCGAUCUGUCUGGACGGCAUGCACCCGGGCAACCCGCCUUGGUUGUCCAUGACGGAUGGACGUGGGAAGAGGGGCGGGGCCACCAUCUUGCAGCGCCCUUUCACAUGCCCACUCGCGAGGCCGGAUGCCGAACCUACGCGUUCGCGUCCUCGCCUCUAGGGGGUUGAAGGGGGGCAAAGGCGCGUGAGCUGGCGCAAGCGUGCGCGACACACAUCCCGUUCGUCGUGACCGAACUAGCCCGACUUGCGUCAUGCCCAUGCGUGGCUUACUGGGAGCCUCCGCGUCCGUCUGUUCCACGAGGGCUUCCUAGGGGCUCUCUACGCCAUCUGAUAUUAUAAUAUAUACUUCCUUGACCACUUUAAGACAAAUCGAUUAUAAGAAAAUCAUUGCCUACUCAUCAGUAGCCCAUAUGAAUUUGGUGACUAUUGGUAUGUUUAGUCGGGUAGCGGCUUAGGUCACCUAUUUUGAGUUAUGGACACACAAGCAAGGCUGCAAGGCCAAAACAUGUGUGCCAGGCGUGCCACCCAUCAACCUACUAGCAAUAAGGGAGAAAACUUAGCAUGUCGCAACAAAAAGCAUCGAUGUCUGUUUAACCAGCACUGUCUGAUUAAAGAGUUGUAAAUGUCAAAAACCCAUACCACCACAAGGUUUCGGAUCAUGCAUUCCCACGAGAUCUAGUGGGUGCAAUGGAUAUCUUUGCUUGCACCCCAUCAAAACUCUCUUAUGAUUUUCAUGAGUUCUUCAUAAAGGCCCGGGAAGUUUAAAGACAUCCAUCAAAUAGGUCGACGGGGAUUGCAUAACUGCCUUGAUGAGGAUUUCUUUGCGCCAUUAGAAAAUUCUCCGUAUUGCGCCAUUCCUUUCAGAAGUUGCGCUUGGAUGAUGUGAAAAUUCCCUCAUGCCAUUUGGCCCAUUGGUGUAGGGAGCCCUAAAUAUUUUGCUGAAACUAUACUUGUGUAACCCUGCAGCACAACCUUGACCUCCUCUUGUACAUCGCUAGGGCAAGCUUUCCCAUGCAUGAGACCACUUGUGUCAACAUUUCCCAACUGGCAUGUCCCUUGGGCAUGUUGAUCACUUGCUGCACCGCCGACCUUGCUUGGCCUCUGCCUUAAAAAAGAGCCCGAGGACUUCUUUUUUUUCAAUUUUUAGGACAUAUAUGUAUGUAAAUAUUUGCAGCUACUAAGGGGCGAUAAACAAUAGGAUAAUCACGUUGUUAAGGCAAACAUAAUGACUUCAAUUCAUUUAGGACCCGGAUAUUCAGCGAACGUCAGCUUUUAGGCAUGAUAAAUCGAACACUUUUUAAUGGCAAAUUAUGUUUGUCGAGAAUGACAAGUUUAUUUGGCGAGCAUGGGAAAUUCGCUUCAAUUUUCAUUUUUGCCACGAAAUUAUUGUGGUUGCAAACUAAAAUUGCUAUCAUCGCGCCAAAUAUAAAUUGCCAUGAAAACCUCGGAUUUGCCAUGCCUAGAAAUCCGACGUCAGAUUUUUAGCGUUUUUGUUCAUUUAACCCUCACUAGAUUAAGGAGAAAAUUUCAGGCCUAACAAAUGUUGGUUUUUUUUGCGGAUGAAAACAAUCAUUGGUUUUUUUUUUGCGAAUAAAAAAACCGUUGGUAUUAAAUAAAUUCCCACACGAAUAUGAGUUUAUUUGUGAAAUUUAGCACGUUUAUAAUGUACAUCGAUGUUCUUUCUUUGCGAAGGGGUACAUCGAUGUUCUAACGUACUGUAUUUUUUUUAGAAUUAUUGAAAACUAUCAAAUAUAAUGUUCAUGAAGUUAUCGUUAUUAUCCUUGCAAAAAAAUCUUUAAAUAUUAAUUAGUACUCCUAAUUUCUCUUUAAAACUAAUUGUUACUUCUUUUGAGAAAAAGAACUAAUUGUUACUGGACAAUGGAUCUAAUUUUCACCUUUUGAUCCGUUCCGUUCACGAUGGACACACCACGACGGACUUACGGCCCAUUAGAAAACGAAACCGACUCCAUAGAAGAGUUCAAAGCCCAACCCACCGAUCCGCGCACCGCCAAAGCCCGACCGAGCCAGCCCUCCCCCUCCGGCGCCGACCCACCGCCGCUCACCAUGGAGCCCGCGGCGAUGGACCGCAUCGCCGCCCGGCUCUCCGCCGUCGACGGCCUCUACUUCCCCACGGCCUUCCUCCGCACCUCGCCGCCGCCGGAGACGCGCAAGUCCGCCCUCCUCGACCUCCUCUCCCGCGACGCGCCGCUCUUCCUCGAGCGGUACGGCGCCGCGCUGCGCCCGGACGAGCUGGCCCCCUUCGACGCCCUCCGGGAUGACUACGAGGUGGGCUGGCACCUCCGCCGCCUCCGCGCCGCGGCCGCCGGGGAGGCCCCGGCCCCCGCGCGCGUGCGCAACCGGCGCCGCGCCUACCUCCACCGCCUGGUGAGCCAGGGGGACUACUUCUCCGAGGAGGCGAUGCGGGAGCGGGAGCCGUACCUGCACCACGAGUACCUCGGCAGGUUCCAGGACCCCUUCGGGCGGGCCAUGGUGCGGCCCGGGGAGAAGUUCUCCGAGACGCUGAUGCGGCGGGCCGAGGAGGCCGUCAUCGUGGAGAAGAUCCGCGGGGAGCAGAUCAGGAGGGGUGUUGACCCCAGCGAGUGGGUCGGCGGCCCCGUUGAGCGGCCGAUGAUGGGGCAGGAGGAAGAGGAGGAGGAAGAGGAAGAAGAGGAGGAGGAGGAAGAAGAGGAAGAAGAGAACAUCGGCAUGGAGGAGAACACCGAGAAUCUUAGCUCGACUGAGGUUUGCUUGCUGCCAAUUAGUAUUACUCUCUGCAUGUUCUGACUUGAUUGUGCCUAAUUUCUGUGUUACAAUUGCUUGCACUUACAUAGAACUGUACAAGUUUGUGUUGCGAUGAUACAUUGAGGCGAUGUAGUUGCGCUUACAUCGAUUUCGCUUAUAUCAAACUCGCUCUGACUUGUAGAAUAUUAAUUUUGAUUUGUAGUCUGCUUUGUCUAUGGAAAAUAGUAAUCUACACUGUGUGAAGUCUUCAGAUGUACUCCCUCUGUAACUUAAUGUAAGACGUUUUUGCUGUAAAAACGUCUUACGUUAAGUUACAGAGGUUGUAGAAAAUUACUUGUUUUACAGGUAUGACUGUAUUACAUCAAACCCAGUAAAUGGUUAGGUAGGAAAAAAAAACAUCUUUUUCUGCAGAGCUGCUUUAGAGUUUCCUUAAAUGUAGUUUGCAGUUGCAGAUACCCUGCAAUAGCAUCUUGGUUGGUUAUGUUUACGCUAGGAUACGGUUUCUAUUUAUUCAUGUUUUUUGUGUGUGAAAUGCGUUCUUUGUAUGGCAUUGUGUAACUGCUAGUUUGCUAGUUACGUAGUUCUAACUUCAGAUCUAUCAGACCCGCUCUAAGAAACUAGGAUUAAUAUGGUUUGUUAUUACAUAGUUCUAAUUCAGAUAUAUCGGACCCACUCUAAGAAACUAGGAUUACUAUGGCACCAUGUAACUGCUAUUAGAUAGUUCUAACUUCAGAUAUAGUGCUUUUGGGUGGGCCCUCAUUCGCCAAACCUUUGAGUGCACUGCCCGUCGUAUGUGACUUUCCAAUUUGGAGAAUCGAAUUGAAGCCCUUUUUUUGCUCAGUCUAUCUGGACCAUUUUGUGCAAUAGGAAUGGAUUCUCAGAUAUUCUAAUAUAGGUAUAUAUCAGCCUUCCUGCAAGUCCUAGUCUUCACCUUUUGUAAGAUGUGUGUCAAUUGGGCCAAGGUCGGGACCGUGGUCGUCCGUCUCCGCUUUGCUGGCCUCAGAACACCCAAGGAAACUAGGAUUACCUUUUUCUUUCUGAAACAUUUGUAACCGCGGGUUGGUGUAGCCUCGGCUGUAGCUGUGGUCAGAUUUAGAAACUCUCAUUGUUAACUCUGCAGUAUUUUAUUGUCGGCUAGGGCCCUGUGAUGAAUCUGUAAACAUCAUAUGCACCUCGCAUUUUUACCGUACAUUUAAGUGGUGAGGAAGAAACAAGUUGAAAGUAAACAGAUCACUGGAUUAGUUCUUGACUAGAACAGAUGCAUGACAUUAUGGCCCAACUGUGUCGGUCUCAACUUGAUGUAGAGCUGUUGUCCGGAGAAAUGACAAUCUGGUUCAGCAGGCCAAUAUGCUAGACUCAAUCAAUCUAAGGCGUAUCUUUCAUUUACUGUCGCUUUUGGUUUGCGCUUGCGGCAUUUGCCUUUUCUUAUUUGACUGGAGAGAAAAACCAGGAUAUCUUUCCUCUGAGUUUAGAUAGAUCUAUUUUUUCAAUCUCCCUUUUCCUUACUAAGAUACUCUGGUAGAGCAGUAGUAAACUCUGCCGUAGCAGAUUAUUAGACGUUCAUUUUCUUCCUAACCCCUGGUCGCAGCUGGUUGCACACGACGAUAACGCUGGGUGCCCGAACGAGACUGCAGGCCCCCCUGCAGGGACUUUCAAGCCGAUAUUGUCCCCCGAGGAGAUGGAGGAUCAGCUGGAGCAGUUCACCUCGGUGAUGCAGGAGAAGUUCCUGUCAGGCCAAGACUCGGAGCACAUGGACUACCUCCAGAUCGACAACGACGAGAUGCUGGACGACCACUGGUCCAGGGAGGCCAACUACGACGCGGAGGACAAGUACUUCAACGAAGAUUAGGACGGUCCACAAUGUAGUCGGCUGCUAUUUAAGUUGCAUACUCGGUCAGUGGCGUACGUCGGGCAUGUUCAGACCCUGUAGUGUUGUUUGUUAGCAGCAUGUAAAUAUAUGAUGCAACCGUGUAUGUGUUGGACACAGGCACACAGUUUACACAUCCCCAUGAGUUGUGAUGAGCUCUAUCCAAGGUAUAGUAUCAGGCAGUAGGCUAAUCGUCUGGUUCUAUGUUGCUACCGGUUACAGAGCUGGUGUUUUUUUGACCUUUCUCCCUUUGUUUCUCAGUGGAGUUUGAUACUUCUCGGUCUCGCUUUCACUCUUGGUGCUGUUAGUUUCUCCUUGUCAAAAUGUAGGUCAAGUGGCAUGGCAUGUGACCUUUUUCUUUUUCCUUAUUUAUUCUUCAGCGGACGCAGAGCAUUCAACACCGUUUAGUCUCCAUCUUGCUUGGGCAUGGUGUAUUAUGACCUCACUGUCCGUGUGCUGGACCAAGAUAAGAUAUGACUUUCAUGUGU